AACUGCCUUGGAGUCAUAUUGAAUAUCUUGAUCUCCAAUACAAUAAGCUGAAUGGAUCGUUGCCCACCUUGAUGUGUAAUUCCAGCUCUCUUUAUAUUCUAAAUCUGUCUCACAACAAGUUGAGUGGUGUACUACCCAUUUGUCAUACAAAUUUGACUUGGCUUUCCGUGUUGGAUCUGCGGAGGAAUAAAAUUCAAGGAAACAUUCCAGCAACCCUGUCAAAUUUCCAUAAUCUGGAAACCAUUAAUUUGAAUGGAAACCAAUUAGAAGGAAGCAUUCCUUCUUCUUUUGCUGGAUUUGAUUCUUUAGCCGUUCUUGAUCUUGGAAAUAAUCAGAUAAAUGAUACAUUCCCCCAGUGUUUGGAAGCUCUUCCAAAUCUUCAAGUUCUUGUUCUCAAAUCAAAUAAGUUUUAUGGUCUUAUAAACACGAGUUCUCAGGUUGUACACCCAUUUCCUAGCUUGAGAAUCAUUGAUCUUUCGUACAACAAGUUUUCAGGUGCACUGCCAGAAAAAUAUUUCAGAAACUUCAAGGCUAUGAUGAAUGGUGAAGUGAAUAAGGUAAAUCGUAGUUAUAUGGAGCAGGAUCUUUACAGUGAUUCCACAGCUCUAGUGAUUAAAGGCAUGGAGAUUGAUUUAGAAAGAAUUUUGACUGUGUUCACAACUAUUGAUGUAUCAAAGAACAAUUUUGAUGGGGAGAUAGCUGAAUACUUUGGAAAUCUUGUAUCACUCAGAUUUCUUAAUCUUUCUCACAAUUAUCUCACAGGCCACAUACCACGCUCGAUUGGAAAAUUGACUGUGCUGGAGUCACUAGACCUCUCAUCCAACCAACUUCAAGGAGAAAUUCCUCCGCAGCUCACUAGUGUAUAUUCACUUGCAGUUCUCAAUCUGUCUUGCAACCAACUUAGAGGACGUAUUCCAGAAGGGUCGCAAUUCAAUACAUUUGAAAUCUACAGCUACGUCGGGAACUUUGGGCUGUGCGGAAAACCCUUGUCAAAAAAGUGUGAAAAUUAUGUCAGGGCACAAGAAGAAGACGAAGAAGAUGAGGAUGAUGAUUACUUUUUCAGUGGAUUUACUUGGGAAGCGGUGGUGAUUGGAUAUGGGUGUGGAGUGGUGCCUGCAUUUAUCACUGGCUACCUGAUGUUGUUGGCACGGAAACCAAAAUGGUUUGCUGGAAUCAUUGGCAGGGAACUGGGCCUGAAGAUCAGGAGGAUGGAGAUUAGAAGGCGAUAACUAAAGGUUUGCUGUAAUCUAUAUCCCAAUCUGUAGGUCUUGAAUAUUCAGUAAUAAUAUAUAUAGUAAUAUCUGCUAUCAUAUAAUUCUAUAUUUGCAGAUUGGAGAGGCAUGAACAUUUUGGCAUGCAAGUUGAUGGGACAAGCAGGAUUCAGAUGCACUGGAAUCAACCACUACUUCAGCUGUUUAAUUUGCAUCUUUUCUAAGUUACUCUGCACAUAUUCUAAGUUCCAUAUACAAGUUCUGUAAUGUUUAGUUAUUCUGCACAAACUCUAAGUUAGUUUCAACCACUGGGGUGUAAGCAGCCAAGUUAAUAAACCAGCAGUUUCUGCAGCUUUCACAACGUUGCUUCAUAUUAUUUUCCCCCUUAUUAGAUGAGCAAUAUAUUUGUGGAAUGGAUGUACCUGAAUUUGGUAUCCGAAGCUUAGUUAUAGAAAUUGUAGAUCAGCUAGUUUGCAACUUAGUGAGAAUGCUUUCCAUUGGACUUGAUUUACUCGUAGAGAAGCAGCACGCAAUGUUAAGGAAGGCCUGAUACAUAAUGUAUUCGAGGAAGUUUUGGAUUUCUUUUUAUUGAGAGUUUUUGCAAAACGUGGUUAAGAAAUUUGAGUUUUAAAAUUAGCUGUAAAAAGUAAUAGGUCAAUUGUAUUAGAUAUUUCAUGCAUUUGAGUUUUAAAAUUAGCUGUAAAAAAUAAUGGGUCAACGGCAACAGAAAUGAAUUGGUUUGGUUUCACCCGUAAGAGUUCUGCACUUCACACUCUAAAUUCCAGAAUUAAUAAAUUCAAGUCAUCUUUUAUGUCUUAGAGCAUCUCCAACCAUACAAAUUUCUUAACUAAAAAAUGAGGCAUUACAAAUAUAGAAAAUUAGUCAACUUGUUGAAAAAAUCAUAAAACCUGUAGUCUAUAAUUUUAGCCAACCUCUUACUAUAUUUGUCGAAUCUUUACAGAUCUACAAAUUUCUUACACGUUAUUUAUUACCAUAUUAAACUGAUAUAUUCUAUUUUAACAAACUAAAAUAUCAUUGAAGUACAAUGUCUUACAACUUCUGUAUAUAAUGUCUUACAAGUUCAAUUUAACCAACGAUUAUAGCCUACGAUGUUGCAAUGCUCUUAAGCCACUCUUUAUUAUUUUUGAUUCCAUAAUAAAUAAGUUUAAACUUUAAACUUUUUAUAUUUAAUAAAUUUAUAUAAUUAAUAAUAAUUUAAUUAUUAUUUUUUUAUUUGUAUUAAGUUUAAUUUAUAGAUACCUUUAUAUCAAAAAUACUAAAAUCAAUCAAAAUUUUAAUAUUUUGAUUCAGUAACUGGAAUAUAAAUAUAUCUAACUUUUGAAAUGAUAAAUAAAUAGUUUAUGAUUAAUAAAAAACUAGUAAGUAACUUGCACGAUUUCUCUUAUUUACAGUAAUAAAUCUCUUAUUAGCACUUUCAACUAAAUAUUUCUCCCAAACACUUAUAAUUUAUGUCCAAUUUUCAUAUUAUUUCCUUUAGAAAGACUGUUGUAUUAUUUUUAAUUUUAGUAAUUAGAUUAUUUUUAUAUAUAUAAAUUCCAAAUUUAAAAAACUUAAUAUUUUUGUCACGCUGCUUCUUAUAAUUUGUAAUACAAAUUAUUUCUAGAUAAAAUUAAUAUAUUAAUAAAAAUAGUGUAAACUCCAUAUAAUACAUUGAAAUUAAAUAAAUAUGCUCUGUACUUUUUUUUCACAUGCAAAAAACUGCACUGUUUCGGUUUAAGCAAAGCGUGAUAAUCAGGACUCCUAGCUGGAAUGGCGAGUAUUAUUCCUACGAAGAAGAUGAUGUUCAUGAUAUCCCUUCACCCCCAAAGACAAAGAAUUGGAGCAUGAAUUCUGAUUACUGCAUGUGGGAUGGAGUUAGCUGCGACGAGAAUACAGGGGACCUAAGGGGACUGGAUUUAAGCUGCAGUCAUCUGGUGCAUUGGAAUGAAAUUAUAGAACUUCUUCAGAGCCUGAUGCUCUCGAGGAUGCACUAAUGAACAAGCCUAAUGAUGAUCAUGAGUCAUAACUCCGUCCUAGAAUAAAGUAUCAUGAAACAUAUUUAGUAUUACAUUUUGUAUUAUUGGAAACUUGAUUUGAAACCGAAAUAGUUUGGUGGAAUCAUUGCCAGGGUAUUGGGUCCGAAGAUCGAGGAUGGAGAAUAAAUUGAUUUUGUUCAAAUAUUUAACACAACCCCAUCAUCAUUAUCCAUCACAAGCCCGGUCCAGUGUAGAGUUCUGGCAACUCCAUUUCUUGACACUUCUGUUGAAGUUGGCCUGUCUGGCAGACAAGAGGCCCUGUUUUAGAGGUGAUAUAUGCGCACAGGUCAAAAAUAUACUCCCUCCGUCCCACCAGAUUCUUUACAGUUUCCUUAUUUGGUCGUCCCACCCAUUUCUUUACAUUACAAAACUUUCUUAAAAUAGUUAAUGGGUCCCAACACUUUUCCACUUUUUCUCCCUUUUCACACUACUUUUACUCCACUAUCUCUUUAUUAUAUAUUAAAAAUCAGUGGGUCCCACCACUUCACCCACUUUUCUUUCUUUUUCCCACUACUUUAUACAUAUUUCUUAACCUCCGUGUCCAAACCCAAUGUAAAGAAUUGGGUGGGACGGAGGGAGUAUAUUUCUUCCAAUAGAUUACAUCUCUUUUCUUCAAAAUUUAUUGUAGUUUCAAAAUGUAGCAUUUGAGAACUCAUUCUCUUCACUUCUUAAAUACUUGGUCUUGGUCAAUACAAACACGAUUAAGACCGGUGUCAAUAUCACUCAUUAUUUUUCCACUCCUUUGAAUGGCAUUCUACAAUCCACAUAUCAGUACUCAGACUUUCACCAGUGAACCAUUAAUGCAUAGAUAAUUGAAGAAAGAAACUUCAACAUAUUUGCAUAUCUUUAUCCAUCUUUUUUUUCUAGUCAUCAACAGGCACAAGCUGUUAAUUUUUAUAUGUUCUUAAUUGGUAUAAGCAUUUAAGGUGCGUGUUGAUAUUUCUCACUAAUCUUCUUCUGCUCUAAGUGACAUAUUAUUACAAUCCACAAAUUAGUAGACAGACUAAUAUGGUUAGUUGAGACCAUCAAUCUGGAGAACAGACUAAUACAUGUGUAGUAAUCUGAUCAUCAUUUAUUUGAUUACAAUAGAAAUUCGGCUUUGUUUAGUUCCAUCCUCGGGCUCUUCAUUUCUAAACAUAUUUGCUGAUACUUUUUAUUGUACAAUUUAGAAUAUUCCAUAAAAUUUUAAAUUCGGUGCUAGAUGAUUUUAUGUCCUGUUUUCAUUCCAUUCAUGAACUAAUGAAAAUUUUGAAAUUGGGUCAUAUUAGGCAGUGAUGCCACCUUUCUGGACCUGCAUUUCAUGGCCACAAACUCCUAUUGUGCCAAAAAAUUCCAGCUGUUUGGUGAGAUUUUUCUACGUGCUCUUUUGUUCGGACUUGUUUGCUGAAUCCCACAAUAGACAAUAUUGAUGUUAACAACUCUUGCGUCAGUUACUAGACUUGUCAGUAGCCCAUUCUUUACGGCAGACGUGGAAUUUACUUGAAGAAAUGAAGGUGUAAGAAAGUUGAGAACAUUUUGUUGAUUAUUUCCUUCCCCAGAAACUGCACUCCAGCAUCAAAGUACCUUUCAAAGACUCCAGCAUCAUUUCUUGAUUAUCAAAGUCUUCGUCUUUGUCAUCUCCUGCUCUGAAAGUGCUUCUAUUGCAGACCACAUAUUAGUAGACAGACUACUAAAAUUCAUCUAAAAUGACCUCUCUGCGUGGGCUCUUUUGAACAAUCAGGGUUGGACAUGAUUCUACACGCAUCAGAGAAAAACUAUCAGCUGGCUAAAAACCUCUCUGCAUCAACUCUAUUGAGAAAAGAAACUAUGGCUCAUACAGUUUAAGUUGAUACCAAAUCGUAAAUGAGAAUACUUGCAGUUUUAAAUUACUGCACGCUAUUUUUUCAACGAAAAUAUGUGCAGUUUUAACAUAGUCUAAUUAUUUUCUUGAUGACGGCUCUGCAAAUUGUGAUAGUUGAAAAUCUUUUUAUCGUCUUUGACAAGCAUCAAGGAAAUGCAGGAAGGUUAUUUAUCAGCUGAUUAAUCUCUUUCUUUGUCUCUGAAAAUCCUUACAUUAGAUCUGUUGAGAGUCUUUACUGGGGAUAAUCUUCUGUCACUGGAUCUGUUGAGGUAACUUUGGGACAAAGUACUGUCUCUAUUACAUGGAAGUUUGAACUGUUUCAUAUUUUUUAGACAACUAAAUGCACUUACAAACUCGACUUGUGUUUGAAAAGGUUCAGACACUCGAACCUUGAAAAGAACGAGAGAGAUAUUAUUGGAUCAAGAGAUCUUUAGUCAGGUCUAGUGCUUUCUUAAAUUAAUUUCCUAAAGUUUCAGUUAAGAUGUGAACCAAAGCUCUUGGUGGUGGUUCUCAUUGCUCUCUUUGUUCCAAAUUAAACUUAAAAAUUGUUGUGUGAUCCCAAGUUGCGGGUUUACUGAUGAGAAUAAUAAAUAUUCAACUGAUGAUACCGAAGCAGCAGCAUACUGCAAUUUCUUGUAAUAAUCAAAAGUGCGAGUACUUAUAAAGAAACUUAUACCUAUAAAGCUGUAGAAACCAAUGGUAAGCAUAACUGCAUAUAAGAUACAAAACUAAAUUUAAUACAAGACUUGUUCUAAGCAUUGGAAAAUAUAAUUCAUCCUGGUCUUCAUCUUCUACUGCUCCAAAUAUGCUUUUAUUGCAGCCAAUGUAUUAGUGAAAAGAAUUAAAUUUAAAUUAAUUGUAGACCGCAAAUAUAAGAUUAUGAGAGUUUCUACAACCCACAAAUUAGUAGACAGACUAAUAUGGUUAGUUGAGACCAUCAAUCCGGAGAAACUGUUUCUAAAAUGACCCAUCUGUAUGAAUUAAUGAAGAAAGAAACUUAUACCUACAAUGUAAAGGAAAUGGUCACGAGUAUAUUGCAUUUUUAAUCCAAAUUGUAUAUGAUUCUAUCUGUGCUACUGAUAGUAAAUAAUAAAUCUACCACGGGCCUUGUAGUUAAUCAAGGUAUUUAACUCUACCUUUCUACAUUGUUGAAUAGUUUGAAUAAAAUAAUUGUAAUAAAAUUUUUUCUGGUGCUGUGUGAGUUUAUCAAAGCUAAUCUCGGUGAGAAAUUAACUAAAGCCCUUGGAAUUAGUAAAUAAAAACUCUGGGGAGUGAAAUUAAAAGUCUGAGUACAAGGCAAUGAGCAGGAAACAGCAUAAGGAGUUUACAACUUGAAGUUUCUAUUCUCCUCCGGUCUUUUUGUGAAAAUCAAGUGGCCAUUGAUACAGUUAAAAAUGGCAGGACUACACAUAAUAAAUCACACAGUCGCUUUAUGAGAGAGGAAAAAUGUCAGGACUGCAAUGCAUUUCUAGCCCAUUUUGUACAGCAGCUCAAACGUUUAAAAAACUUCAUUAAUUAUUUUCUUUUAUUGAAACCCACACUCAUCCAUCAAAGUAGCUCUCAAAGACUAAUUUCCAUCACCUUUUGAUUCUCAAAGUCUUCUUCUUCGUCUUCUACUGCUCCAAAAGUUCUUACAUUGCACGCCACAUAUUAGUAGACAUAUACUUGAUCUUGAUGUACAAUGUUAUGUUAUGAUGCUAAUAACCCUCUGCAGGGGUUAUUAAAGAAAGCAACUUAUAGUUUAAGUUGCUGAACAUUUGUGUGUGCCAAAUUUAAUUUCACACAUCAUUACUAGAUUUACACAUGGUAUUAGACAUCAGUACUAGUAUAAGAUGUUAAUCAAGUUUUUGAAUUUCUUUUAUUUCAGAUAACAAGUUUAAUUUUUUUUUUGUGGAAUUAAUUAUUUAUAUCACGCAUUUGAGCUUUAAAAUUAGCUCUAAAUAAAAGUUGAUUUUCGCUCAAAGAAACAAUGAUGUAUAAGAAGAUUUUCAGAACUGAAUUAUUUCUUUCAUUUUUACAAGUUCCAUUCAAGAACCGAAAGUAGCUCACAAAGACUCACUACAUCAUCUUUCAAUUCUCAUAGUCUUGGUCUUUGUCUUCUGCUGCUCAAAAAUUCUAUUACAGCCCACAUAUCAGUAUCAUAAACCUAAUUAUGAAUAGUAUUUAACACUAAACACAAUUGAAGAUUUGUCUCACAGACUUACUUCCAUCACCUUAUGGUUCUCAAAGUCUUCGUCUUCUAAUGCUCCAAAAGUUCUAUUAGUGCAGGCCACAUAUUAGUAAACAGACUACAAUUCAUCCAAAAUGACCCCUCGUAUUGGACACUUUGAACACCUCUGUCUGUAUAUGCAUUGGAGAAGAAUUAUCAGCUAGUUAAAAUAAGGGAAAUUCUUCAUGGUACACUCAUAAAAUUGGCUUUUCUCAAUGGUACCAUCCCAUUUUUGACUGGUACCAGUGGUACCCUCGUACUUUGAAUCUACUCUCUAUGGUACACUCGUGUACUUUUGAUCUAAAAUUGGAUGUAAAAGUUGUUUAGAGACGGGUAUUUUGUCUAAGUUUGUAUUUAAUCAUCAGGUAUUUGGUCUUUUAGUCAGACUGUGGCUCAUACAGUUUGAAGUUGAUAUCAAAUCUUAGAUGAGAGUGUUUGCAGUUUUAUAUUACUGAACAUUUUUUCUUGAAUUCGAUAUCGAAUUUUAAACGAAAAUAUGUGCAGUUUUAAUUUGAAAGUUAUGCAAAUUACAUUAAUAAUAUCAUCUAUUUUGAGUCUCUUGGUCUUCGGUCUUCUAUUGCAGCAUAUCAUAUACUUCUCAAAUGAUUGAAAAUGAACUCUCUCCAAAAGACAAGGGGGUCUAUCGAAGUAGACCUGCAAUUGAUUUUACUUGAAGAAACAAUAAUACUCCAGUUCACUUCUUAAAGUUUUGGUCGUCUUUUAUCUCUCAAAGUCUUGAUCUUUGUCGUUUACAUCUCAAACAAUUUUCCAUCGUAUUGAACACUUCACACAAUUCCAUCGUAUUGAACACUUCACACAAUUCCAUGCUAUCGUAUCAAACACUUCACACAAUUCCAUAAAAUUGAAGAUUUUUGACGAGAUGUUUUAACUAUGAGUUCUUCAAAUUAUUGCUUGUAAGGCCCGCGACAUUUUAGAGAGUCACCAAAGCUUUGGCCUGUGGAUUAAGUUGAUGAAAUCUAAUGCAUCGGAAUCAAUGACAACACUAUUUUAGGGGCUUGAUGCUCUUAAUAUUAUUCAUUCCGCUCAUAAAUUUCAAGUGGAGAGUGGAGAAGAAAGAGCAUCGUGAUUGUCACGGUACCCUUACUUAAAAUUUGUUCGAUUAGGUUUUUUUACGUAGUUUGCGCUUGGUCAUCUAGGUAGGCCUUCAUUAUAUUAACCCACUCGCAUGUCUUCAGCCACUCUUGUAAUUUCAUUAGGGCUGUCAAAAAAGUCCGAAAAAUCCGAUAUCCGUCCGAAAAAUCCGCAUUCGUAUCCGAGAUAAAGCGGAUAUUAUCCGUAUCCGAGACAAAGCGGAUAUUAUCCGCAUCCGAAUCCGACAAUUCCGGAUACGGAUACAGGCAUAUUUGUAUCCGAUAAUAUCCGAAUCCGAAAUUAAAUAUAUAUAUGAUAUUAAAUAUUAUAUAUGUAUAUUAUUAGUAUUAUUCAAUAACUAUAUAAUGUGUGUAUUUAUAUAUGUAUACAUAAAAUAAUAUAUUUAUAUAAAUUUUGUAUAAUUUUAAAAUAUUAUAGACAUAUAUCAUAAUUUUAUUUGAGUUUGAUAUUCUAAAGAUAACAAAUUUAUAUUGAAAGAUAAAUAAGAAUUAAUUUUUGAAUUAAUAUAAACUUUAUUUAAUGAUUUUAAUUUUUUUACUCAGUUUUUAAAAAUUAAACUUUAAUUUUUACUAUUUUUUAUGAUUUUUUAGAAAUUUUAAUAAAAAAAUAAAAUUUCUGAUUAAAAAUCAGAUUCGGAUCCGGAUAUUAUCCGAAUCUGGAUAAUAUCCAUCGGAUCCGGAUUCGGAUAUCAUCCUUUAAAAUAUUUCGGAUUCGGAUCCGGAUACGGAUAUGGAUUUUCGGAUUCGGAUCCGGAUACAGGCAGAUCCGUAUCCGAAUUAUCCGUUUGACACCCCUAAAUUUCAUAUUAAACAAAUUUAAAUUUCUUACAUAAAUUUGUAAAAAUAAUAAAUUUUUUCUUAUUUAUGAUAUUAAUAAAUCUCUUACUCUCUUAUUACUGUAUUCAACUAAUUAUUUUUUCCUAACAGUUAUAAAUGUAUCACAUCAGUUAUGAAAUUUAAAACAAAUAUGUCCAAUUUUUUCGAGAAAGAUGGUUGUAUAAUUUUUAAUUUAAAAUUUUAAUUAUUUUUAUUUUCAAUAUAAUUUACAACUAAAUUUUUUUUAUUAUAAUUUCACUGCUUCAUAUUUGUAAUAAAAUUAAAUAUAUCAUAAAUACACUUUUUUCUAUAUAUAUGCUAACCUCUAGAGAUGUUAAAGAUCAUCCCAAACAAAAUUUGAAAGCGAAAAUGAAAAUGAAAAAUUCCGUACUCUGUUUUUUCACCAUCAGUGUGAUGCUCAUCUUCUUGCAGUUGCAGCACCACCUGGUGGCUUCUUCAUUGAGCCCCAGCUUGCAGAAACUUGCGUUGUUCGACUUUAAACAAACCUUUUCAAUCAGUAAUGAUCCUAAUAGCUGGAUAUGCUCCUAUUAUUCCGUCGAAGACGAAGAGUUUUACGAAAUUCCUUCUCGGCCAAAGACAAAGAAUUGGAGCAUGAGUUCUGAUCACUGCACAUGGGAUGGAGUUAGCUGCGACGACAAGACAGGGGAUGUUAUCGGACUGGAUUUAACUUGCAGUCAGCUGCAAGGAGCCAUUCUUCCUAACAACACUCUCUUCCAGCUCUCUCAUCUCCGCUUCCUCAAUCUUUCUCAAAACGACUUUUCCCAUUCCAACCAGUUCCCUCAGGAAUUUGGUUUCUUUGCAAAAGGUUUGAAGCAUCUCAACCUCUCUUAUACUGGAUUAUCAGGGAGAGUUCCCUUGGGAAUCUCUCAUUUGCAGAAACUGGUCUCACUUGAUCUCAGUUACAACUCUGAAGCUGAACUUAAAGAAGAAGUGUUUAAAUCAAUGUUGCAGAAUUUAACUCAUCUCAGAGUGCUUAAUCUUAAUUACGCUAACAUCUCCUCUGUUUUGCCCGUGAAUAUCUCUGCUUCUUUAAGAGUUCUUCAAUUGUGGGGUACUGGUAUAGACGGAGUAGUACCCCAAGAGGUUUUCCACCUUCCCAACUUGGAAUCACUUGAUUUAUCAAGUAAUUACGACCUGAGAGCUACAUUACCCAAAGUUAAGUGGGGAAGUAAUGCUACUCUCCAACACCUUGUUCUUAAAUACAUCAACAUAGAUGGAGGUAUACCUGAUUCAAUAGGCUUUUUGGAGUCGUUGGGCAGUUUGGAUCUGAGCCGUUGUAAUUUGUCUGGGCCGAUUCCAAGAUCCAUCGGGCACCUCAUUCAACUUACUACAUUGGUCCUCUCUGAAAAUAAUCUCAAUGGCCCAAUUCUAACUUUUCUUACAGACCUUAAAGACUUGAGAUAUAUCUCCCUUGAGCGUAACAAUUUUACGGGUUCGUUUCCCUCUUUUCUUGCCCACUCCAGUAAACUAGUUGUGAUGUAUCUUGAUAGUAAUAGCUUUACUGGAUCCCUACCCAGUUGGUUGUUUCACCCUCCAUCGUUAGAGACCUUGUAUCUGCAUAAUAACGCAUUCACGGGUCAACUACAUGAAUUUCAUUCUUCUCACUCACGGCUGCAAUCUUUUUGGUGUAACAACAAUUUACUCUACGGAUCCAUUCCACAUUCAUUUUCUCAACUUGUGAAUCUCACAUCCCUAGAUUUGUCAUCAAACAAUUUCAGCGGGGUUUUGGAUUUGGAAAUGUUUUCAGGCCUCAAAUUUCUAAGAAGUCUUGAUCUUUCUCAUAACAGUCUGUCAGUGAGAAGUACAAUCAUGUCUACUCUCCCUCCUAAACUUAACCACUUGGGCUUGUCAUCUUGCAACAUGAAAGAGUUUCCUCACUUUUCAAGAGAUGCAAACAUCUCCAUGGAUUUUAUAGACCUAUCAAACAAUAAAAUUGAAGGGGAAAUUCCACACUGGAUUGGGUCGCUGGGGAGGUACUCUGACACUUACAGCUCCUAUCUGAAUCUUUCUCACAACAAACUAAUAGGCGGUCUUGAGCAACUGCCUUGGGGUUAUAUUACUUAUCUUGAUCUCCAAUACAAUAAGCUGGAUGGAUCGUUGCCCACCUUGAUGUGUAGUUCCACCUCUCUUCAUAUUCUAAAUCUGUCUCACAACAAAUUGAGUGGUGUACUACCCAGUUGUCCUCCACAUAGGAAUAUUCUUUCAGUGUUGGAUCUGCGGAGGAAUAAAAUUCAAGGAAACAUUCCAGCAACCUUGUCAAAUUUCUAUAAUCUGGAAACCAUUAAUUUGAAUGGAAACCAAUUAGAAGGAGGCAUUCCUUCUUCUUUUGCUGAAUUUGAUUCAUUAGCCGUUCUUGAUCUUGGAAAUAAUCAGAUAAAUGAUACAUUCCCCCGGUGUUUGGAAGCUCUUCCAAAUCUCCAAGUUCUUGUUCUCAAAUCAAACAAGUUUUAUGGUCUUAUAAACACGAGUUCUCAGGUUGUACACCCAUUUCCUAGCUUGAGAAUCAUUGAUCUUUCGUACAACAAGUUUUCAGGUGCACUGCCAGAAAAAUAUUUCAGAAACUUCAAGGCUAUGAUGAAUGGUGAAGUGAAUAAGGUAAAUCGUAGUUAUAUGGAGCAGGAGGAUUAUUACAGGGAUUCCACAGCUCUAGUGAUUAAAGGCAUGGAGAUUGAUUUAGAAAGAAUUUUGACUGUGUUCACAACUAUUGAUGUAUCAAAGAACAAUUUUGAUGGGGAGAUAGCUGAAUACUUUGGAAAUCUUGUAUCACUCAGAUUUCUUAAUCUUUCUCACAAUUAUCUCACAGGCCACAUACCACGCUCGAUUGGAAAAUUGACUGUGCUGGAGUCACUAGACCUCUCAUCCAACCAACUUAAAGGAGAAAUUCCUCCGCAGCUCACUAGUGUAUAUUCACUUGCAGUUCUCAAUCUGUCUUGCAACCAACUUAGAGGACGUAUUCCAGAAGGGUGGCAAUUCGAUACGUUUGAAAACAGCAGCUACGCUGGUAACUUUGGGCUGUGCGGACAUCCCUUGUCGAAAAAGUGUGAAUCUUAUGUUAAAACACAAGAAGAAGACGAAGAAGAUGAGGAUGAAUGUCACUUUUUCAGUGGUUUUACUUGGGAAGCGGUGGUGAUUGGAUAUGGGUGUGGAGUGGUGCCUGCAUUUAUUAUUGGGUACCUGAUGUUGCUGGCACAGAAACCAAAAUGGUUUGCUGGAAUCAUUGGCAGGGAAUUGGGCCUGAAGAUGAGGAGGAUGGAGAUUAGAAUGCGAUAACUAAAGGUUUGCUGUAAUCUGUAUCCCAUUCCCAGGUCUUGAAUAUUCUGUGAUAAUAUAGUAAUAUCUGGUCUCAUAUAAUUCUAUAUUUGCACCUGUAGACGUUUACAGAUUGGAGAGGCAUGAACAUUUUGGCAUGCAAGUUGAUGGGAAAAGCAGGAUUCAAAUGCAUUGGAAUCAACAACUGCGGUGUUGUAGGCAGCCAAGUUAAUAAACCACUACUUCAGCUGUUUUGCAUCUUCUGUGAUUUUAAAUUUUACAUUUUACAAUAUAAGUCAAAAGAUACAAGUUCAAUAUACAAGUUUUGUUUUGUUUAGUUCCAGCCUAUAAACACUUCAGUAGAUACCAGAGGAGAAAUGGAUACAAUCAAUGUCGGAAUUGGUCUUUAUAGUUGAAACAAAGACUACCAGAUCAUUACCAAUAUCAACUAGGCAUGUUGUUUAACGGGGAACUCAUAACUGGACAAUAAUUUUAAUAAUUUAGAAUUUGUGUAAUUUAUUACUGGUCUAAAGGACACGGGAUGGGUUUGCAAUAGUUAUUUGGAAACAGCUUGCUUAGAUAAAUGGACAGUGUUUUAUAAUAAUAGAGUCCGGGGCCUAUCAAGUGAUUGUUAGAGCAAUUUAUCUACUGUUUUUUAUAGCGGAAAAACAUAAACACUUGGUUUUUUAGUGCAUGCAGAGGGUCCAUCAGUCCAUCCGCAAUUUACACACUCAUUAUUCCAGGAUUCUCUGUUUCAUGGUAUUCUGCUGUGUAAAGAACAAUCACUUGUCAGGACCACCUCCCAUAAUCACAAGAGAUUCUAUAGGAAAAGAAGCAACAGACAUGGUUGGAUUGUUUGUUUUCUGUAUUCUUCUGCUAAAAGGCUACCCUUUUAAAGUCUCUUUUAUAUAUAAAGAUACAAAAAAAAAAAAAAAAAUCAUACUAAUAAAGAUUCUUUUUGGCUCCUCCAGAACUGGCCAGUUUUUCCUUAACUUUGCUUCUCCCACAUAAGACUAUAAGAAUAUUACAAUGAAAUAGUUGAUUAUCGUUGAACUUGCCAAUCUGUUGACUUGGUAAUUUGAAUUUGAUAAGCUCUGAAUUGUAAGUAACGAGGAACAAGAUGACAUGAUGGUAAAUAGAAAAUACAAGAUGUCCAUCAACAUAGCAAAGAAAUAUUUUUCAGCCGGACGACAUAUCAGGAUGUUCAUUACUAAAACAUGUUUGCUGAUGCUUUAUAAUGUACAAUUUACAAUAUAUCACAGGUUGUAAUAUACACUACUAGAUGAUUUUAUGGCCUGUUUAUCCUUAAUCGCUAUCAUGAACUAAUGAAAAUUUAUAAAAGUGGAUCACAUUUGCAGUGAUGCCGCUAUUUUUCCUGAAUUUCCCUAGUUGUGAAGAUUCCCUAGUUGUGAAGAUUGUCUAAAUCAUGUUAGAGUCGCUGCCAUCAGUGAAUGCAUUCAAUGGCUUACUGAAACUGGUAGAGAUACUAAAUUGCAAGAUGACAGAGUGUCCAUGCGUCAUUUUAAGGAUCAAGAUGUGUAGCUGUGACUUGUAUUUUAAAAUUGCAAGAUGUUUUACAAUGGUAGCAGAGGAGGGCUGGGGAUUUAUUGGGUCAGUUCGAAGCACACAAGUAGAAUUGGUUGUGGCAGAGCAAGAAGCUGAGCACGACCAUAAGAAUUUGAACUCUGAGGCUAAUUUGACUCUACUUGUACAAGUUAAUAUAUGAUGGCACAAGUUAAUAUAUGAUGGCAGCAAAGGAGUUUCUUACAUGCGCCAGUUUACAGUUCUUAGAAACAUCUUAUUAUGCUUAUUUGUACUAAACAGAUAUUAGUAGUCCACCAGAAACAAGGAGAUUUGAUAUAUCCCGGACUCUGAGGCCGGUGACAGUCUAUGAGAGGGCAUGUAAUCGAUGGAACAAGGAGGAUUCAGAUACAUUGGAUUCAUUAACAGAACUUCUUCAGAGCCGGAGUCACUUCCAGAUGCUCUCUUCUGGUAGAUAUCUAUUGGAGAAGUAAAAACAUCUCAUAAUCAUCAUUCAGCACUUGCUCUGAGUUUGUUGAUCAACCAUGCGAUGUUGAAGGCAGCUCUUAUCUUAUCUGCAAUCAAGUUAAUGAACCACCACCUCAGUUGUUAAGCAUCUUUCACCAUUUUACAUUUUACAACUCACAAUAAAAGAUUACAUGUGUAUUAAUCUGAUCAUCAUUUGUUUGAUCAAUAUAGAAGUUCGGCUCUGUUUACUUCUAUCCCUGGCUCUUCAUUUCUAGAACAUUGUUGAUACUUUUUAUUGAAUGGUUAAGAAUAUUCCAUAGAUUUUUAUAUUCAGUGCUAGAUGAUUUUAUGUCCUGUUUUCAUUCCAUUCAUGAACUAAUUAAAAAUUUGAAAGUGAUGCCCACCUUUCUGGACCUGCAUUCCAUGACCACAAACUCCAAUUCUGCCCAAAAAUUGCAGCUGUUUCGUAAUAUUUUUCUACGUGUUCUUUUGUUUGGACUUGUUUGCUGGACCAUGCAUAUUGUUUUGAUACAAACAUCUUUGUUGAUGUUAACACUCAUUGUUAGUAGCCCAUUCUUUACGGCAGACAUUGAAUUGGAUUUACUUGAAGAAAUGAAGGUUUAAGAAAGUUCAGAGCAAUUUGUUGAUUAUUUCCUUCCCUAGAAACUGCACUCCAGCAUCAAAGUACCUUUCAAAGACUCUACACAUAAUCUCUUGAUUAUCAAAGACUUGGUCUUGCAUAUACUGAUAUACACUGAAUAUAGGUUUCUUUCAUUUCCUUGAAAUUGCAUUUUUCGAAGUAACUCUCCAGACUCAUUCCCGUCACUUCUCAAAGUCUUAGUCCUCAUCAAUACAUUCACAUAAUAUCACACCAAUUUGCUCAUGCUCAGAUGGGCUUUUCUUACAAACCACAUAUGUUCACUUCUCAGAGUCUUAGUCCUCGUCAAUGUAUAGAGAUAAUAUCUCACCAUUUGCUAGUGCUACAAAUCAGUUUCUCCUACAACCACACAUAAUCGGAGAAAAGUCUGUCAAGUGUCAAGUGGACUUGAAAGACCCUUCUGCAUGGAUUAUUGUAUGUCAUGAAUGCCUUCUGAUAUCCCUGAAAGUGCAAGCAAGUUAUAAAAGUAGCUGGGCAGACUCUUUCUCAUCAAUACAUUCACAUUCAAAGCGGGCGUUGAUAUGCCUCCCUAAUUUUCUAAUGCCCUAGACGGAAUUCUAUUACAAUCCACAUAUGAUGGGUAGCGAUCAUCAAUUCAAAGAAGACACUAUCAGCAGCUUGCAGGAAAUGACCCCUCUGCAUGGAUUAUCGAAGAAAGAAACUUAUACCUAUAAAGCUGUAGAAAACCAAUGGUAAGCAUAACUGCAUAUAAGAUACAAAACUAAAUUUAAUACAAGACUCGUUCUGAGCAUUGGAAAAUAUGCUUUUAUUGCAGCCAAUGUAUUAGUGAAAAGAAUUAAAUUUAAAUUAAUUGUAGACUGCAAAUAUAAGAUUAGGAGAGUUUCUACAACCCACAAAUUAGUAGACAGACUAAUAUGAUUAGUUGAGACCAUCAAUCUGGAGAAACUGUUUCUACAAUGACCCAUCUGUAUGAAUUAUUGAAGAAAGAAACUUAUACCUACAAUGUAAAGGAAAUAAUCACGAGUAUAUUGCAUUUUUAAUCCAAAUUGUAUAUGAUUCUAUCUGUGCUACUGAUAGUAAAUAAUAAAUCUACAACGGGCCUUGCAGUUAAUCAAGGUAUUUAACUCUACCUUUCUACAUUGUUGAAUAGUUUGAAUAAAAUAAUUGUAAUAAAUUUUUUGCUGGAUGCUGUGUGAGUUUACCAGAGCUUAUCUUGGUGAGAAGUCUGAGUACAAGGCAAUGAGCAGGAAACAACAUAGGGAGUUUACAACUAGAAGUAUCUAUUCUCCCCUAGUCUUUUUGUGAACAUCAAGAGGCCAUUCAUUUUGCUCACAAACCAGUUAAAAAUGGCAGGACUACACAUAAUGAAUCACGCAGUCACUUUAUGUGAGAAAAGAAAAAUGUCAGGACAGCAGCUCAAACGUUUAAAAAACUUCAUUAAUUAUUUUCUUUUAUUGAAACCACACUCAUCCAUCAAAGUAGCUCUCAAAGACUAAUUUCCAUCACCUUUUGAUUCUCAAAGUCUUCUUCUUCGUCUUUUACUGCUCCUAAAGUUCUUCCAUUGCAAGCCACAUAUUAGUAGACAUACUACAUCAACUCUGUGGAAAGAAACAAUCUAUACUUGAUCUUGAUGUACAAUGUUAUGAUGUAAAUGUAUAAUAUCAAAAUUAGGAAUAGUAGUCACGCGCUAAUUAAUAACCCUCUGCAGGGGUUAUUAAAGAAAGCAACUUAUAGUUUAAGUUGCUGAACAUUUGUGUGUGCCAAAUUUAAUUUCACACAUCAUUACUAGAUUUACACAUGGUAUUAGACAUCAGUACUAGUAUAAGAUGUUAAUCAAGUUUUAUAAUUUCUUUUAUUUCAGAUAACAAGUUUUUUUUUUUGUGGAAUUAAUUAUUUAUAUCAUGCAUUUGAGCUUUAAAAUUAGCUCUACAUAAAAGUUGGUCUAUUGCAGUAGACACUAAAAUGAUUUCGCUCAAAGAAACAAUGAUGUAUAUGAAGAUUUUCAGAACUGAAUUUCUUUCUAUUUCUAAAAAUUGCAUUCAAGAACCGAAAGUAGCUCACAAAGACUCAUUACAUCAUCUUUCAAUUCUCAUUGUCUUGGUCUUUGUCUUCUACUGCUCAAAAUUCUAUUACAGCCCACAUAUCAGUAUCAUAUACCUAAUCAUAAAUAGUAUUUAAUAUUUAACACAAUUGAAGAUUUGUCUCAGAGACUUACUUCCAUCACCUUAUGGUUCUCAAAGUCUUCGUCUUCUAAUGCUCCAAAAGUUCUAUUAGUUCAGGCCACAUAUUAGUAAACAGACUACAAUUCAUCCAAAAUGACCCCUCUUAUUGGACACUUUGAACACCUCUAUCUGUAUAUGCAUUGGAGAAGAAUUAUCAGCUAGUUAAAAUAACCUCUUCGCAUCAACUCUAUCGAAAGAAGCAAUUCAUACCUAAAGUACAAUGUUUGGAUAAAAUCAGGAAUAGCAACUGCACGCUAAUUUUUUAGUUGAAGCAGGCUACCUUGGUGUAAUUCAGUGAACAUCCCCGUAAUUUCUUGACAGGCCACAAUUAAGGAAGUUCACAGAAUUAAAUUCCAGAAGUAGCUCCCUGAGACAGAUUUGCAUCAUCUUUCCAUCCUCAAAGUUCUUUACACUUAUAUUAUAUUUCAUGUUUUAUUGUAAUGAACAUAGCAGUUUCCUGUUCAGUAAUAUUCCAGGCUCAGGUUCUUCAUUCCUAGUCUCUGUUACAUGUUUGCCACUAAAACGUAUUGAACAGUUAUUAGUUUAUGAUUGUAUUCCAUCUUGAAAGGAGAUCUCAAAGACUCAUUCCCAUAAUCUUAAGAAUCUCAAGUCUUGAUGAACUUGGCCUUCAUCAUAUUUGUACUCUUGUAAUUCCAUAUUAAUGAAGUUUAAAUAUUUAUUUCAAAAAAAAAUGAAGUUUAAAUAUUAAAAUUUUUAAUUUUAGUAAAUUUGUAAAAAUAGUAAAAUUUGUCUUAUUUAUAAUAUUAAUAAAUCUCUUACUUUCUCGUUACUGUAUUCAACUUAAUAAUUCUUACAAACACUUGUAAGUGCAUCACAUAAGUUAUGUAAAUUCAGAAUAAAUUAUGUCCGAUUUCUUUAAGAGAGAUUGUUAUAUUGUUUUUACUUUAAAAAUUGAAUUAUCUUUUAUUUUUAAUAUAAUUUACAACUAAAAAAUAUUUAAUAUAUUUUCUUAUUUUUGUAAUAUGACUAAACAUAUCUUAAAUACACCUUUUUCCUAUAUAUAUAUAUAUAUACAUCUAUUAUAUUUUUUAUGAAAUAUAAUUACAAAUUUUGAUUAUUAAACCGAAAACGAAGUUAUACAAUUUUUUUAUUUCAAAGAUCAUCUAAUAUAUCAUGUAAUAUCUCAACAUGAUUCUAUAACAGAAUAAUAAUCAUUCAGAAUUAUUCUGUUGUAGAAUCAGUUUCGAAACUAUACUUUUUUUUAUCAAAUUUUAAGUGUUAAAUUACUUAAAAUAGAUAUAUUUUAUAGUAUUCUAUAUUAGAAUCACGUUUUAUAUGUAUUUUAUAGCAGAAUUUAUAAUAAAAUUGAUGAUUUAUAAUGCCGCACUAUGUAACUUCAUAUAAAGAGUCCCUUUCUGGAAUGUUGGCAUAUAUAUAUACUAGCUUAAAACCCGUGCAAUGCACGGGCGGUUAUGAUAUUUAUUAUUUUAUCGUAUAUAUUCCAGAUUUAACUAAUUUUAUUGAAAUUAAAAUUGUGAUAGAAUAAUGUGAUUAAAUAAAACAUUUAUUUAACGACUGAAAAAUUCUUAAUAGUUAAAUCCGUCAAAUAGCUAAUUUAAAAUUAAGUCAAAUAUAUAUUUUAAUAAAAAUGUUAAAAUAUAUUAUAUUUUUUAUAUGUUAUAAUUCAAGAAGACACAUAAACCUAGAUAUAAACAACCCAAUCAACCUUUUAAUAUUUUGUUAUUAAUAAUAUAGAACAAAUCCUUAAAAUAGAAUCAGAUAAGUAUAAAACAUAUUGUAAGCUAAAGGGAAGUGUACUGAUCCAUAACACUAACCUAAUUUAUUUAUUUUUAAACAGCACUAACCUAAUUUAUAAAUUAAGGAGGUCCAUGGAUCAAAUAUGAACCGGUUUAUAAAACUCGACCGACCAACUGAACUUUUCAGUUUAUGUUUUAAUAGUACAAUAAUAUAUAGUAUAGUAUAGAUUUGUAAUUUUAACUUUUAAAUUUAGAUCAGUAGAGCAUUUAAAGUAACGUUAAUAUAUUUUGAUCGACAAAUAUCGCCAUUUAUUUAAUAAUAUUGUUAUAUUUUUAUAUAUAUGUCGCCCGUGUUAAUUGUAGUAGAUCAAUUUUUUCAGUCAGUAAAUCUUAAAAAAAAAAUGUGUUUUAGUUAAAAAGGUAAUUACUAUUGCUCGAUGUUAUUUUAGAAAAUUGUGUUUUUUUAGUUAGAAAAUAUAAAAAAGAUAACAUAUUCUAGUUUAAAAGAAUAUUUAGUUAUAUAGAUAGGCCUGUAUUUCGGCCCAAAGUUAAAAAGAAUACUCCCUCCGUCCCCUCCAAUUCUUAUCGUUUGGAAUGGAGUGCUCGGCACGCAUUUUAAGACUCAUAUAAAGUAUAGUUCCAUAACUCAUUUUCAUAAUUCUCUUUUUCUGAAUAAAAAUUUAAACAUUACAUUUUUAUUUAAAAAAAGAAAAUUUUAAAAAUAAGUUAUGGAACUAUACUUUAUAUAAGCCUUAAAAUGCGUGCCGAGCACUCCAAUCCAAAUGAUAAGAAUUGGAAGAGACAGAGGGAGUAAUUAGUUAUGUCGAUAGACCCGUAUUCGGUCCAAUUACUUACAUACCAUAACUUUCAAUUUUCGAUUUUAAUAAUAUAGUAAACCUUAAAAAAGAUAAUGUAUUUUAGUUAAAAAGGUAAUAACUAUAUUGUUCGAUGUUAUUUUAUAAAAUUGAGUUUUUUAGUUAGAAAAUAUAAAAAAGAUAACAUAUUAUAGUUAAAAAGAAUAAUUAGUUAUAUAAAUAGGCCUUAUUUCGGCCUAAAGUUAAAAAUAAUAAUUGGUUAUAUAGAUAGGCCCGUAUUUCGGCCCAAAUUUUGACCGAUCAAACUUUCAAUGUUCGUAAUUACUGUUGCUCGAUGUUAUUUUAGAAAAUUGAGUUUUUUUAGUUAGAAACUUUAAAAAAGAUAACAUAUUCUGGUUUAAAAGAAUAAUUAGGUAUAUCGAUAGGCCUGUAUUUCGAUUUUCGGCCCAAAGUUAAUAAGAAUUAUUAGUUAUGUCGAUAGGCCCGUAUUCGGUCGAAUUACCGACAUACCAAACUUUCAAUUUUUUAUUUUAAUAGUAUAGUGAACCUUAAAAAAGAUAACGUAUUUUAGUUAAAAAGGUAAUAACUAUAUUGUUCGAUGUUAUUUUAGAAAAUUGAGUUUUUCUAGUUAAAAAAUAUAAAAAAGAUAACAUAUUAUAAUUAAAAAAAUAAUUAGUUAUAUAAAUAGGCCUUAUUUCAGCCCAAAGUUAAAAAUAAUAAUUAGUUAUAUAGAUAGUCCCGUAUUUCGGCCGAAAUAUCGACCGAUCAAACUUUCAAUGUUUCAGUUUUAAAAAUAUAGUAUAGCUUUCGGCCCAAAGUUAAAAGAAUAAUUAGUUCUACAGAUAAGCCCGUACUUCGGCCCAAGUACCGACCGACCGACCAAACUUUUAAUGUUUCGGCUUUAAUAGUACUAACUUAUAGCCCGUGCAAGGCAUGGGAGCUUUUUAGUAAUUUAUAAACUUUUUAAAUAUAUUUUAAAUUAUGUGAAAAUUUUUAAUUUACAAAUAAUAAAUUAAAAUUUUCAAUUAAAUAAAAUUUGAAAUUAUGAUUUGUUUGCAAUUCCGAACUUUUGUAAAAAUAUAUAAUUUUUAUAUGAUGUUGGUACAAUUUAAAAUUUUAUCUUAAAUUUUAGUUGAAUCUAAUACAAAAUAUUAGUUUCCAUGAUUUAUUAGUUAUGAAUAACUUAAGCUAACGUAUUCGUCUUUAAUAAUAAAAAUAUUUAAUAGCAUGAGGUAAUGCAUAUUUGCAUAUAAUUUUUCAUUUUUCUUUUUUAAUAUAUAUACUUGAAUAAAAAUAUUUAUUUUAAAAAUAUUUUUAUGUUAAAUUAUUAAUCUUUAUAUAUAAAAUAUAUUCCCUACGGGCUACGUCCCAUCAUAUUAUUUAGAGUUUUUUUUUUGGGAUGUACCAUCAAAUUCUUUACAUUUCAAAACUUACCAAAUAGGUCCCACCACUACACAACUUUUCCUACCUUUUCACACUACUUUUACUCCUUUUUCACAAUACCUUUACUCUACUAUCUUCUUUUUAUACAUUAAAAAUUAAUAGGUCCCACUACUUACCCAUUUUUCUUUUUAUUUUCCACUACUUUGUACAUAUAUCUUCACCUCCGUGCCCAAACCAAACAUAAAGAUUGGCUGGGACGGAAGGAGUAUUCAUUAAUAAUUUGAAUAACAUGCAUGCAAAUAGAAGGCAUAACAUGUCUGGAUUAGGAAAAUUUGUUAAAAAUAUGCGUUAUAUUUUUCACACUUGUUUCUAAUUUGGAUAAAAAUAUUUUUGUGAUCGUGCAAUUUGUAUGAUUCUACAAAUAAAAAUGGGAAUAUUUAUUUUAGAUUAAAAUAACAUAAACACGUGAAAGAAAUAAUUUGUUUUGGAUUCAGAAAAGAAGAUAUCAGUUGCCUAGCUGCCUUAUAAGUUCUAAUCUAACAGUGCUUAUUUGAUCAAUAUACGAUCUAACGGAUGAUAAGCUUUUGGACCAGAGGACCAUGCGACCAAAUUAUCUCCCUUACGCUUAUUAUAUAAUACUAGCUUAUAGCCCGUGCAAGGCACGGGAGCUUUUUAAUUAUUUAUAAAUUUUUUAAAUAUAUUUUAAAUGGUGUGAAAAAAUUAAUUUAUAAAUAAUAAAUUAAAAUUGUACAUAUCAUGCCAAAGUAUUAAAUUCUUUCUAUCAAAUUUUAAACCAACUCCUAUUAGAUUAUAUUUAUAAAAGUUCUAAUCUAACAGUGCUUAUUUGAUCAAUAUACGAUCUAACGGAUGAUAAGCUUUUGGACCAGAGGACCAUGCGACCAAAUUAUCUCCCUUACGCUUAUUAUAUAAUAUAGCUUAUAGCCCGUGCAAGGCACGGGUGCUUUUUAAUUAUUUAUAAACUUUUUAAAUAUAUUUUAAAUGGUGUGAAAAAAUUAAUUUAUAAAUAAUACAUUAAAAUUGUAUUCUCAAAAUGGUGUGAAAAAAUUUAAUUUAUAAAUGUUAAAUUAAAAUUGUAUGUAUCAAUGCCAAAGUAUUAAAUUCUUUCUAAAUUUUAAAUUAUUUUAAGUAGUGUGACGCCAACUCCUAUUAGAUUAUAUUUAUAAAUGUAUUUUAUAUUAGAAUUAUUAUAAUGUGAUUUAAAUAUUUUUCUAAAAAUUUUUAUGGUUCGAGAUUAAAAUUGAUAAACACAAUUUGUUUUGAAUUAAGAAGAUGAAUCAUAAACAUGCAAUAAGAUGGUAGAAUUUGCUUUGGAUUAAAAAAUUUUUUUUGUAUUUGUUCCUCACAUAAAUCGGGCUUAUUAAUUUUGAAAUAUAUUAGGUAAAAAUAAUUUUGUGACUGUGCGAUUUAUAUGAUUCUACAAAUAAAAUUGGUAGAAAAUAUUUAUUUUGGAUCAAAAAAAAUCAUAAACACGGGAAAUACUUAAUUUGUUUUGGAUUCAGAAAAGGAUUUAUAAACAUGCAAGUAGAUAUCAGUUGUGUUAUGGAACAAAAGUUAAUUUUGUUCUAAUCCAACGGUGCUUAUUUGUUCAAUAUACGAUCCGAUGGAUAAAAAUAAUCUUGUGACGGUGUGAUUUAUACGAUUCCACAAUUAAAAUUUGUAGGAAAUAUUUAUUUUGAAUUAAAAAAAAACAAAAACACAUGAAAGACAGAAUUUGUUUUGAAUUCAGAAAAAGAAUUAUAAACAUGCAAGUAGAUGUCAGUUUCCUUAUAGAACAGAAUUUAAUUUUGUUCUAAUCUAACGGUGCUUAUUUGUUCAAUAUACGAUCCAACGGCUUUUGGACCACAGGACCUUGCGACCAAAUUAUCUCCCUUACGCUUAUUAUAUAUAAGUAUAUAAUAAGUAUAUAAUAGUAUAGAUAUGCUAGUCUUAAAUAUAUUUUUUUCCUAUAUAUAUGCUAGCCUCUUGAGACGUGAUCAUCCCAAACAAAAAAAUUUAACGGAAAAAGAAAAUGAGGAAUUCCAUCCUCUGUUUUUCCACCAUCUGUUUGUUGCUCAUCUUCCUGCAGUUGCAGCACAACCUAGUGGCUUGUUCAUUAAGCCCCCACUUGCAGAAACUUGCCUUGUUCCAUUUUAACCAAACCUUAACAAUCAGUACUACUAGCUGGGAUUGCGAAUACGUUUCCUACGAAGAGAAUGCAGUGUAUGAAAUUCCUUCACGGGCAAAGACAAAGAAUUGGAGCAUGAGUUCUGAUCACUGCACAUGGGAUGGAGUUAGCUGCGACGACAAGACAGGGGACGUUAUCGGACUGGAUUUAAGUUGCAGUCAGCUGGAAGGAGCCAUUCUUCCUAACAGCGCUCUCUUCCAGCUCUCUCAUCUCCGCUUCCUCAAUCUUUCUCAAAACGACUUUUACCUCGCCAGUCAGUUCCCUCAGGAAUUUGGUUUCUUUGCAAAAGGUUUGACGCAUCUCAACCUCUCUAAUACUGGAUUAUCAGGGAGAGUUCCCUCGGGAAUCUCUCAUUUGUAUAAACUUGUCUCACUUGAUCUCAGUGACAACUCAGUCUCACUUGAUCUCAGUCAGAACUAUGAGGCUAAACUUGAAGAAGAAGUGUUUAAAUCAGUGUUGCAGAAUUUAACUCAUCUUGAAGUGCUUAAUCUUAAUGGAGUUAAGAUCUCCUCUGUUUUGCCCCUGAAUAUCUCUACUUCUUUAAGAGUUCUUCAAUUGAGGUAUACUUAUAUACACGGAGUAGUACCCCAAGAGGUUUUCCACCUUCCCAACUUGGAAUUACUUGAUUUAUCACUUAAUGACGACCUGAGAGCAACAUUACCCAAAGUUAAGUGGGGAAGUAAAGUUACUCUCCAACACCUUCAUCUUUCAUACAUCAACAUAGAUGGAGGUAUACCUGACUCAAUAGGCUUUUUGGAGUCAUUAGUCAGUUUGGAUUUGAGCAGCUGUAAUUUGUCUGGGCCUAUACCAAGAUCCAUUGGGCACCUCGUUCAACUUACUCGCUUGGACCUCUCUCAAAAUAUUCUCAAUGGCCCAGUUCCAACAUUUUUUACAGACCUUACAGACUUAAGAUAUAUCUCCCUUUGGCAAAACAAUUUCACUGGAUCCCUACCUCGUUCGUUGUUUCACCAUCCAUCCUUAGAGUCCUUGUCUCUGGAUAAUAAUGCAUUCACGGGUCAACUACAUGAAUUUGAUUCUUCUCGCUCACGGCUGCAAUCUUUUUCUUGUUCCAACAAUUCACUCUAUGGAUCCAUUCCACAUUCUUUUUCUCAGCUUGUGAAUCUCACUGUCCUAGAUUUGUCAUCAAACAAUUUCAGCGGGGUUUUGGAUUUGGAAAUGUUUUCAGGCCUCGAAUCUCUAAAACGUCUUCAUCUUUCUGAUAACAGUCUUUCAGUGAGAAGUACAAUUAUGGCCACUCUCCCUCCUAAUCUUUACUCCUUGGGCUUGUCAUCUUGCAACAUGAAAGAGUUCCCCCACUUUUCAAGAGAUGCAAACAUCUCCCUGAAUCUUAUAGACCUAUCAAACAAUAAAAUUGAAGGGGAAAUUCCACACUGGAUUGGGUCGGUGGGGGAUUUCUAUGGAAUCCCUUAUCUGAAUCUAUCUCACAACAAACUAAUAGGCGGUCUUGAGCAACUGCCUUGGGGUUAUAUUCAAUAUCUUGAUCUCCAAGACAACAAGCUGAAUGGCUCCUUGCCCACCUUGAUGUGUAAUUCCAGCUCUCUUGAGAUUCUAAAUCUCUCUCACAACAAUUUGAGUGGUGUACUCCCCAUUUGUCAUACAAAUUUGACUCAGCUUUCGGUGUUGGAUCUGCGGAGGAAUAAAAUUCAAGGAAUCAUUCCAGCAACCUUGUCAAAUUUCCGUUAUCUGGAAACUAUUAAUUUGAAUGGAAACCGCUUACAAGGAAGCAUUCCUUCUUCUUUUGCUGAAUUAGAUUCUUUAGCCGUCCUUGAUCUUGGAAAUAAUCAGAUAAAUGAUACAUUCCCCCUGUGUUUGGAAGCUCUUCCAAAACUCCAAGUUCUUGUUCUCAAAUCAAACAAGUUUCAUGGUAUAAUAAACCAGAGUUCUGAGACAAAACACCCAUUUCCUAGCUUAAGAAUCAUUGAUCUUUCGUACAAUGAGUUUUCAGGUGCACUGCCAGAAAAAUAUUUUAGAAACUUCAAGGCUAUGAUGAAUGCGGAAGUGAAUAAGAUAAAUCGUAGCUAUAUGGAGCAUCGGUAUUACAGUGAUUCCACAGCUCUGGUGAUUAAAGGCAUGGAUAUUGAUUUACAUAGAAUUUUGACUGUGUUCACAACUAUUGAUGUAUCAAAGAACAAUUUUGAUGGGGGGAUAGCUGAAUACUUUGGAAAUCUAGUAUCACUCAGAUUUCUUAAUCUUUCUCACAAUUAUCUCACAGGCCACAUACCAUGCUCGAUUGGAAAAUUGACUGUGCUGGAGUCACUAGACCUCUCAUCCAACCAACUUGAAGGAGAAAUACCUCAGCAGCUCACUAGUGUAUAUUCACUUGCAGUUCUAAAUCUGUCUUGCAACCAACUUAGAGGACGUAUUCCAGAAGGGUGGCAAUUCGAUACGUUUGAAAACAGCAGCUACGCUGGUAACUUUGGGCUGUGCGGACAUCCCUUGUCGAAAAAGUGUGAAUCUUAUGUUAGGACACAAGAAGAAGAUGACGAAGAUGAGGAUGAAUGUCACUUUUUCUGUGGUUUUACUUGGGAAGCGGUGGUGAUUGGAUAUGGGUGUGGAGUGGUGCCUGCAUUUAUCACUGGCUACCUGAUGUUGCUGGCACGGAAACCAAAAUGGUUUGCUGGAAUCAUUGGCAGGGAAUUGGGGCUCAAGAUCAGGAGGAUGGAGAUUAGAAUGCGAUACUAAAGGUUUGCUGUAAUCUGUAUCCCAUUCCCAGGUCUUGAAAAUUCUGUAAUAAUAUAUAGUAAUAUCUGCUCUCAUAUAAUUCUAUAUUUGCAGAUUCAGAUGGGACAAGCAGGAUCAGAUGCAUUGGAAUCAACCACUAGUACUUCAGCUGUUUUGUCAUUCUAAAUUUUACAUUUUACAAUAAAAGUCAAAAGAUACAAGUUAUGUAGUAUUGUUUUGUUCCAGCCUCAGGCUCUUCAUUUCUAAAACAUGUUUGCGGAUGCUUUACAAUGUACAAUUUACAAUAUAUCAAAGUUUUUAAUAUACACUACCAGAACUGGGUUACAUUGCAGUGUUGUCGCCAUUUUUCUGAAUUUCACUAGUUGGGAAGACUGUAUAAAUUAUGUUAGAGUCGCUGCUAUCAGUGAUCGCGUUCAACAACUUAUCUCAAACUGGUAAGAUUUACUAAAUUUUUAAUUUCACAAGCUGUUGAUAGAAUAGAAGAUGCCUCAGUUUAAGGAUCGAGAAUGUAUUAAUGAACUGUCCCAGCCCUGAGAAAUUCUCUUUGAUGGGGCUGCAGUUUCAAUAAAUCGCCUCUUGUACUCAGCCAUCAUACAGUGAACCACCGUCCGAUGGUCGAAAUUGGCGAAGCAUGAUGGCUUUAAAUCAGCCCAUAACCUGAUGGGGUGGCAUUUCUGUUCCCCAUUAGUACCAAUGCAGGGUGUCCCCUUCCAAAGCUACUCUGCAACAAUUUCCAACAUCUCGUAUUCACUUAACCCGUUCAGUAGACAACAAGGUUAGGAGCAAGAAUGAGUCGGUGUCUGGACAUGAGAUUAGGAAUACUAUUACCUCUGACUUCUGAGGCCCGUGACAGAUCGAAGAGGCAUGAAAGUUGGGGACAGGGGACGGCUGGUGCAUUGGAAUGAAAGUAAAAAACUUUUUCAGAGCCUGAUGCUCUCAAGGAUGCAGUCUAAUGAACAAGCGUAAUGAUGUCAUGUUAACUGUCAACCACCUAGUCAAAAUUACUUGAAAUGAUGAAAUUUAUGACAGUAAAUUUAUGAUGCUCUGAGUUUGUUGAUCAACCAAGCUAUGUUGUAGGCAGCUCUUAUCUGAUCUGCAAUCAAGUUAAUGAACCACUACCUCAGUUCAACAUUUUACAUUUUACAGCUCAGAAUAAAAGAUUACAUGUGUAUUAAUCUGAUCAUCAUUUGUUUGAUCAAUUUAGAAGUUCGGCUUUGUUUACUUCUAUCCCGGGCUCUUCAUUUCUAGAGCAUAUUUGUUGAUACUUUUUAUUGAACGGUUAAGAAUAUACCAUAGAUUUUUAUAUUCGGCGUAGAUGAUUUUAUGUCCUGAUUUCAUUCCAUUCAUGAACUAAUUAAAAAUUUGAAAGUGGGUCAUAUCUGGCAGUGAUGCCAGCCCUUCCUGACCUGCAUUUCAUGACCACAAACUCCAAUUCUGCCCAAAAAUUGCAGCUGUUUCGUAAUAUUUUUCUACGUGCUCUUUUGUUUGGACUUGUUUGCUGGACCAUGCAUAUGUUUUGAUACAUCUUUGUUGAUGUUAACACUCUUGUGUCAGUUACUGGACUCAUUGUUAGUAGCCCAUUCUUUACGGCAGACAUUGAAUUGGAUUUACUUGAAGAAAUGAAGGAUUAAGAAAGUUCAGAACAAUUUGUUGAUUAUUUCCUUCCCUAGAAACUGCACUCCAGCAUCAAAGUACCUUUCAAAGACUCCAGACAUCAUCUCUUGAUUAUCAAAGACUUGGUCUUGCAUAUACUGAUAUACCGUGAAUAUAGGUUUCUUUCAUUUCCUUGAAAUUGCAUUUUUUGAAGUAGCUUUCCAGACUCAUUCCCGUCACUUCUCAAAGUCUUAUUCCCCAUCAAUACAUACACAUAAUAUCACACCAAUUUGCUCAUGCUCAGAUGGGCUUUUCUUACAAACCACACAUGUUCACUUCUCAUAGUCUUAGUCCUCGUUAAUAUAUACAGAUAAUAUCCCACCAAUUUGCUGGUGCUACAAAUGGGCUUCUCCUACAAGUCUACAACUACACAUAAUCGGAGAAAAGUCUGUCAAAUGGAUCUUGAAAGACCCUUCUGCAUUGAUUAUCAAAGUAUAUUAUCUGUUAACAUAAAUGUAUUUUAUCAAAGUACUCUCUAAAUAAAAACUAGUAAUAGCAGUUACACAGUAAAAAUUUUUCCUCAAACAAUUACCACCUCAAAUGAGAUAGGCAACCUUAGAUUCUCCAAAAGUGCUUAUAUUGCAACCCUUGUGUAAUGACUAAUAACAGUCAUGAUUAGUAGACAGACCAUAAUUGCGAUGGUUCGAACUUUUUUACUUGAGCUGGAGAGAAGACUUUGAACUGCAGUGUUAGCUAGGAGUUUUUGCACCGUUCCUUUCCCUGUCUUGAAAUUGCAUUUCAGCUCCAAAAGUAGAUUUCAGAGACUGAUUCAUGCCAUCUUUUAAUUUUCAAUGGCAUAGUCGCGAUGACACUCUCACUUCUCACAUUGGAAAACUUUUACCAACACAAUGAAAUUUAUAAGAGUAAAAUGCAAAGCGGUGGUUAAAUUUAUAAGAGUUCUAUCGAAGUCUAGUUUACCUAAAUAACUGCAAAAUGGUUAGGGUUGUUCACGAACCGAGCCGAGCCGAGUUUUGACCGAACCGAGCCAAGCUUUAAUUUUUUUUCUGACGAGCCGAGCCGGGCCGAGCUUUUUUAUCGAACAAAAUUUGUGUUCAAGCUCGGCUCGUUAACUAACGAGCCGAACACGAGCUUGUUCGCGAACAAAUACAAGCCGAACCGAGUAGAAUCGAGUCGAGCCGAGCCAGAAAAAAAAUAAGAACAAACCGCUAGUUGACUCUUAAAAUAGCUAACCAAAUAAUUUUAUUUUUUUUUAAACUUUGUUUAUAUCACUAAAAUGUAUAUAUGUUAACAUCCAUACGGUUGGAUCGGUAAGAAAUAUUUUUUAAAAUAUUGAAACACUAAAUUAGGAUUAAACACUAGUUAGCAGUACUAUUUAACCUUCUACUUGACUGUUAAAAUAGCAAACCAUAUAAAAUUAUUAUUUUCCGAAAUUUUGGUUACAUCACUGAAAUAUAUAUAUAUUAAUUAUAUGUUGAAUUCUGAGUUCAAUAACAUAUAUAAAUUAUAAAAAAAACCCCGAAAAUAUUACAUUUUUUCGAGCUUUAACGAGCCGAGCUCGAGCCGAGCGAGCUCGAGUCGAGCUCGAGCCGAGCUCGAGCCGAACAUACUAAAAGCUCGGCUCGAGCUCGUUUACUUAACGAACAAUUUUUUGUGUUCGUCCUCGAGCUCGUUAACUUAACGAGCCGAGCCGAACGAGCUCUUAACGAGCCGAGCUCGAGCUUGUUCGCGAACAGCUCGGUUCGUUAAGCAGCCCUAAAAAUGGUGAAACAAACUAGGGCUUAGAAAAUGGUACAAUUUGCGGUUUUGUAUCUAUUGGGCAUCUAUUUUGGUGUGCUAGUCAACUUGUAUGGUUCUUAAAGUUUACAACUUGAAACAGUUAAUAUCAAAUGUCAAAGUGAAAAUAUGUGUAGUUUUAACUUCACAAUAUUUUCUUGGUGCGGGCUAUGUAAGUUAUCUUUUACAUGGUGAAUCAAGUUAUGAUACUCAGAAUCAAUUAUGUUUCACUUUCGUAUUUUCCACCUGGUCGUAAGAUUUGUAGUUUUCCUUCGCUAUUGUAAAGGUUGUGUUCUAUUAAGGGUGAUAUAUGCGCACCCUAAAUUAAUUUAUGCACACUUUACCUUCUGUUUCAUAUCAAAUUACCCUUGUCUUUUAUCAUUUCAACCAAAUAUUUUAUUAAUUCAAAGGGGUAAUUUAGUACAAACUAGAUGAAAGGUGUGCAUAAAUAAAUUUAGGGUGUGCAUAAAUCAGCACCCAAUGUAUUUAGUGAUUCCACUGAUGAUAAUGUUAAGCAAUUAACAGGUAUUAAAAUGCUUUCAUUAUAAUGCAACUUUAUACUCCCUUUAUCCCAUUUUAACUGAGGUAAAAAAAACAAUAUCUACACCCAUUAAAAAAAAUUCAAUUUUUAUAUCAAAUAAAAGUUUAGAUUCUAAAAUUUUAAUUGAUGAUAUAAAUUUUAUAAACAAUAAUUAUGUUUAUAUGUGAUUUUCUUAACAUUUCAAAAUACAUGUAAAAAGGUCAAAAGUAGUUAAAAUGGGACGGAGGGAGUAUAUUUUUAUUCAAACUCGAGUCUCCCGUGAGUGGAGCUCUUAAUAUCAUGCGAAGUUAAUAUUCUCCUAAAAUCUCAAAAUGUUAGAUAGAAUGACUUAUAAAAAAAUUGAAGAAAAGUGGAGUUUUAUUAUAAGUUUUAUCCGUGUUACAUACUUACAUUGAAUAUCUGGUAGUAACGCAAAAAAUUUGGUCUCCUCUAUGUAUUUUUGCUGGCUUGGUCGAAUCAGUUGGAUUGCUGGUAUUUGAAUAAUCUAAUUUUUUCAGAAAUAAGAAUUUAUUUCUUGAGAAAAGUACAUAAAACUACUAUACUUUUUUGGUCUCCUCUAUGUAUUGUUUUAUUUUAUAAGUCGUUUAAGGUAUUUUCACACAUAUUAAAAAACUUCAUUGUUGCAUAAAAAAGUAUUUAUUAGUCAUUUCUUUUUCAUUAUUAUCCUCAUUUAAUGUCUCUUUUCUCUCUUUUUCUAUUGACUCAUAAUAUUAAAUAAGGGUGAUAAAAGUCAUUAGAUAAUUUAAAUUAUUCUUGAAAAAAAAAAAAGAACGACCUAUAUUUAUGAAUAAUAAUAUUUUCUAAAAUGAACUAUAAAAAAACAGAUGGAGUACUGUAUAUCAAGUGGAGAAGCAAGACUAAAGUGCAGUACUCCUAAGCCCACAUUGUACGGCGGUAGUACAUUUGAUUUUAUUCGGGGAAAACCAUGUUUAUGGAUUAUCUCAUCUGAAAGACCCUAUCCAUCAUCUUCCGAUUCUCAGAGUCUUGGCCUUCCAUUCCAUGCACUGCUCUGCACGUGCUUCUGUUUGAGAUCAAAAUCACCUGCCUUAAAAAAUUUGUUUCUUUUGUAGUCUAAUCUCUGUCCCAAUCAAAUAUAUACCUUAACUGUGCACGUAUUUUGAGAUUUUAAUAAAAUUUUGUUGUAAAAUACUUUUUAAAAUUUUUUUUUUUGAAUAAAAAUUUAAACCUCAAAUUUUUAUUCAGUUAAGGAAAAUUUUAAAUAAUGUUUUGUAAUUAUACUUUAACGAAGCCUUAAAAAAUAUACCAAAAAACAGCGUAUACAAUUCAUCAGACGAGCAACCGCCAACAAGAAACACCACCGACAAUAAUAAACAAGAUUAGAAUGCAUAAUAUUCUGCAUUGGUCGAUAACUAUCAUUAUUAAUUUCUUCCUGCUGCACCACCGACAAUAAUAAACAAGAUUAGAAUGCAUAAUAUUCUGCAUUGAUCGAUAACUAUCAUUAUUAAUUUCUUCCUGCUGAGAAUUGAAACCACGCCCUCUGGCAAUUCCAAAAUGUUCCCUUUUAUAUUUAGCAAAAAAUAAUGAAUGGUGCUCCCAUUUUUUGACUAACCCAAAAACUCGAUGAUGGGCAAAAAUUGCACUAAUAUUAGAAUGAUGGUGUUUAGACAAGUUCUUCAUUUCAAAUUUUAAAUAUUGAAAUAAUUAGAAAUAUAAUAUAUAACUAUAUGACAAACACUCUAAUUCAGCAAGAAUCUUAUUUUUUGUAUCAAUUUUUCAAUAAUUUCAGGUGAAUGGUAAUUUAAUAUAUAAUCAAAUUUUAAAUAUUGUAUAGUUUUUGUUUUAUAUUUUAAUAAAUUUCAUAAUAGUGAGGAUAUGAGUACAUAUAUACAUCAACAGAAGGGUCGUUUGGGUAAACUUUAAAAAAGUGACUUCUUUCUUCAAAUAAAAAUGUGCACUAUAUUCCGUCAAAAAAAAUGUGCAGCAUUAGUAAGAGGUAAGUCUAGACUUAAAAGUGAUUAAAAUUUUUUAAGGAAAAGUAGAAGUUCUGAAAAUAAAAGUUAGAAAUUUUGGCUUCUUACAGGUGUUUCUGACUUUUUACAAAAUUAUAAGCCGACUUUCUUAGAAAAAGAAGGCGGAAGCUGGGGCAGCCAAACAAACACAUGAUAUGACUUGAUAUACAAAAAAAUUACAUUUAAAUUACGUUUAUAACACAAAUAAUCUCAAUUUAAAAAUGAUGAACAAAGAGAUAUGAGAUAUAUUGAAAAAUAAUUGAAAGCAACCCGUGUUUUGCACGGGUUAAAAAGCUAGUUCUAAUUAAAGGGAAAAAAGCCAUCGACUAAAAUUGAACACGGAUGGGAAUUAUAAGAAGCAUAAGCAAACAAACUUUUCUCUACAAUAAAAGGUGAUGGGUUGAAGUCAAGAAAACACCGAUUCAUCUUUGUACAAAGUUAAAAAUACUAACGGCUCUUUGCUUAUAGCACUACAAGAAAACUCAUUUUAAUGACAGAAAUUCUGUUAACAUGAUAAGGAUUUUCGUUGGUAAAUCACCGCCAAGGGAAUGAUAAUGAAAAUAAUUGGUUGGCAUAUAGUUGAUCGGGAAGUUCAUGCUAACGGAACAAAUUCGUUGCUAAAUUGGUUUCUUUUGAUAAAAGAUGAUGGGUUGAAGUCAAGAAAACAAACACAACACUUUUACAGAAAGUUAAAAAUACUAACCGCUCUGUGCUUAAAGAGUGGCAUAAGUAAGCAGUUCUCCGUGUGCUAGAAAUUCCUUCAUUUCUUGCUCUUCUAAGCCAACAACAGCUCUAAUACCAUCAUUCGCGGUAUCCAUCAGAGUGAUGACAUCAACCAUCGGAGUGUCCACAAGCACAGCUUUAACCGGCUUUCCCCACCCGAAAUCCAUGAUAUCAUAUAGCGGGAAAUUACACAUGCUUGUAAUAACGUAGAACCUGUACUUGUGUUUUGUGAACUCAAGAAACUCAGUCUCCAUUUCGUGUCCUUCCAUACUCUUGAUUCCUUUUAGCUGUUCCCUCUCUUUCCUCAUUCGUGCUACCAACGUUCUGUACUUUUUGUCCGCCUCUGUGGUCGCUACAAUGUGGUUUAGAAUCUGGAAAUUCCCCACAGUUGUUUCUUGCAGUGGCGGAUCAAUCAUAUGCCUCACAUUGACAGCCCGCAUUAAAACGGAUCCAUUAUGCACUCCAGCAUUAGUCCUAUCUGCCACGCUUACAAGACAUCUGUAAAGGAGUGCAGUCAGAAGCUCGUUGCGGGUGUAUUUUUGAUCUUCCACUACUCCAUCCAGCUUAUCCUCGUUAUUCACCACAAUCUUCAGUUCUGCUAGCUUUGUGUUGGGAAACACUAAUUCCUUCGUCGUCCAAUUCUUAUCUGGAAAUAUGAUGGUUUCGAUGGCAUUAAUAUCAUAGGAUAGAGGCAGCAGAGCAUUCACCAGAACGGGACAGAGAUGUAACAGUUUUCGGUGAUCACCAGAAUGGAGUGACAGAGUGGCCCAAUACCUUAAAAGUGUGCAGGUAGUCAGAGCAUCACCCAGAAGGUGAGAAAGGCAAAAAAUUGCUGACGAAAAAAUGUACAAACUAGUAAAAAAUGAAAAUCACUUCUGGUAGUAAAAAAAGUCUAAACUAGAACCUAGUUCAGCCCAAUAUUUUAGCAUUAGUUUUAACUGCAAAAAUCACUAAUUUGUACAUUAUUAAUGAUUAAUUUUUAAAUAGAAAUAUCACAAAUAAAUAAAUAAAUAAAUAUAAUUAAAAAAUUAAAAAAAUCAUCAAUUUUCACCAAAAAGUCGUAUUUUCCCAACUAGUUCUACCAUGGAACCAUAUAUAUUUGUCCAAAGUGAUUUACUGUUCAAUAUCAAGUCUAAAAAAAUACACAUAAAACACUACCUUAAAAGUGUGCAGGUAGUAAGAGCAUCCCCAAGAAGGUGAGAAAUGCUAACUGCUACAGCCAUCCCUCCACAAUCGAAACGGUUGAGUUGCACAUACAUUAUAUUACCCGAAUGCUUCUCAGAAAACUGAUUCCGAAUUGUGCAAGGUGGAAACAGAUGGCCUAAUCCGUCUUCUUCCUUGACUGCAGCUCUAUCCUGAACCUCCGACAUAUUGCAUCCGAUUUGAGCCUCGAUAAAUUGAACGCCUUCAUCGUUACAAUCGACGUACGAUCCAGAGCAUAUCCUUCCUGCAAAUGGAUAGUACUUGGACAGUGUCUCCGACAAAGACUUCUUCAGUAGAUCUGAUGCAUUAUCAGGGACCCGUUCACGAAUGGGAUCAGAGUUGUUUUUGGGAUAGAAAAAAAUCAGUGGAAUAUAAAAAUUUGGAACCAUGCGAUCAUGUAAAGGAAUAUUGUAUCGUUUGAGGUUCGAGGGAGUUGGAGAAGCUGGUUUAAUGCUGCAGGAAGAUCUUGAGAUUACAUGCAGCUGCCUUCUAAAUACUAAUGACAACCUCAUCAAUCCUUUAAACGUCAUUUUUAACUUGCCAAACCAAACUUUGAUGUGUAUAUCAGAUAUGAGCUGGUUUAAUUGGGGUAUUUAUACAGAUUUAUAAGAGAAGAUUACAGCCCAUGCCAAAAGACUUGGCGGUUGAAGCUGGUGAGAUGAUAUAACUCCUGAUUAACCGGAAAUCAGGGAUUAAUCGUAAGGAUUAAUCAGAGUGAAAAUCGGUUUUAUUUUGAAUAUUAAAAUAUUAUUUUUAAUAUUUAUUUAUUACUAUAUUAAUUAUUUAAUAAUAAAUAUAUUUAAUAUAUCAUAAAUUUUAUAAUUGUUCAUAUUUAAAGUAAAUAAGUAGUAUUCAAUUUUAAUAAUUUAUUAUAUAUAUAUACUUCGCUUGAGAAAAAUUUAUACGGAUUAAUCGAAUUUUAAAAAUCGAAUCAAUCGGCCAUCUUGCAGGAGAUUAAUUGGGAAUUCAUCGAUAAAAUCAAUAAUUUUUAAAACACUGCCGGCAACUGUAAGUAUAAAAAAUAGGAAUAAACAAAGAGCACUGGGAACCACAUGCAAGUGAUUGUUUACUGCUGGUUCUACCGGUCUCUGCCAAAAACUCUGAUAAAUACCAGACAAAACUACCAGUCUCCCUUGCAUAAAAUAUCUAAGCUACAUAGGAAUCUUUUUAUGUCUAUGCUACAAGACAUUUUUUAUGACUUGGAUCCCAUUUCAUUUGUGGCAUUGCAGCAGUUCAUUCUUUAUUUCCUGAAUUUUCUCUAUAAUCUUUACCUCAUGCCUCUUAAUUUUUAUUCAAGAUAAUUUUUUUUGCAAAUUACUGUGGUUCUGCUUUUCUUAUCUUUUCUUCUUUUGGCUUUGCUGGUACUUUUCCUUUGCCAGUUUAAUUUUACCUUCAACUUUGAGAAAUAAAUGUAUUUAGUGAUUUCACUGAUGAUAAUGUUAAGCAAUAGGGUUCAAAAUGCUUUCAUUAUAAUGCUACUUUAUUUAUUUAUAUUCAAACUCGAGUCUCCAGCAAGGGGAGCUCUUAAUACCAUGUGAAGUUAAUAUUCUCCUAAAAUCUCAAUAUGUUAGAAAGAGUAAUUUUUUAUUAAAAAAAUUGAAGAAAAGUAGAGUUUUAUUAUAAAUUUUAUACGUGUUACAUUGAAUAUUUAAAAGUAAAGCAAAAAAUUUGGUCUCCGCUAUGUAUAUUUGCUGGCUUCGUCGAAUCAGUUGGAUCGCUGGUAUUGGUGAGAGCGUGAGACAUUAAAGGGAGAUGGGCUGAUCAGAUCAGCUUGGUUGAUAAUGUCUAAAUCCAAUUCCUUAACAAGGAAUUGAUUUUACUCAUGAAAAAAGAGUGAUUAAAAAAAAAGUUUGCAGAAAGUCAAGACUCAAACCCCAUUCUUAUCAAGUCUUCCACUACUCUAUGCACAAUUCAAAAUACACAAAGACCAACCAAAAAGUUCUUGGAAGUAAUCAAAUAAAUGAUACUCUCCAAGUUCUUGUUCUCAAAUCAAACAAGUUUUAUGGUCUUAUAAACACGAGUUCCAAGAUUGUACACCCAUUUCCUAGCUUGACUGCUUGAGAAUCAUUGAUCUUUCGUACAAUGAGUUUUCAGGUGCACUGCCAGAAGAAUAUUUCAGAAACUUUAAGGCUAUGAUGAAUGCGGAAGUGAAUAAGAUAUAUCGUAGCUAUAUGGAGCAAGAUUAUUACACUGAUUCCACAGCUCUAGUGAUUAAAGGCAUGGAAAUUAAUUUAAAAAGAAUAUUGACUGUGUUCACAACUAUUGAUGUAUCAAAAAACAAUUUUGAUGGGGAGAUAGCUGAAUACUUUGGAAAUCUGGUAUCACUCAGAUUUCUUAAUCUUUCUCACAAUUAUCUCACAGGCCAUAUACCACGCUCGAUUGGAAAAUUGACUGUGCUGGAGUCACUAGGCCUCUCAUCCAACCAACUUGAAGGAGAAAUUCCUCAGCAGCUCACUAGUGUAUAUUCACUUGCAGUUCUCAAUCUGUCUUGCAACCAACUUAGAGGACGUAUUCCAGAAGGGUGGCAAUUCGAUACGUUUGAAAACAGCAGCUACGCUGGUAACUUUGGGCUGUGCGGACAUCCCUUGUCGAACAAGUGUGAAUCUUAUGUUAGGACACAAAAAGAAGACGAAGAAGAUGAGGAUGAAUGUCACUUUUUCUGUGGUUUUACUUGGGAAGCAGUGGUGAUUGGAUAUGGGUGUGGAGUGGUGCCUGCAUUUAUCACUGGGUUACUGAUGUUGCUGGCACGGAAGCCAAAAUGGUUCGAUGGAAUCAUUGGCAGGGAAUUGGGGCUCAAGAUCAGGAGGAUGGAGAUUAGAAUGCGAUACUAAAGGUUUGCUGUAAUCUGUAUCCCAUUCCCAGGUCUUGAAUAUUCUGUAAUAAUAUAGUAAUAUGUGCUCUCAUAUAAUUCUAUAUUUGCAGAUUGGAGAGGCAUGAACAUUUUGGCAUGUAAGUUGAUGGGACAAGCAGGUUUCAGAUUCAUUGGAAUCAACCACUACUUCAGCUGUUUUGCAUCUUUUGUGAUUUUAAAUUUUACAUUUUACAAUAAAAGUAAAAAAGAUACAAGCUCCAUGGACAAGUUUUGUAUUGUGUAGUUCCAGCCUCAGGCUGAUGGUUUAUAAUGUACAAUUUACAAUAUAUCACAAUUUGUAAUAUACAGUACCAGAUGAUUUUAUGGCCAAAUUAUCCUUAAUCGCUUUCAUGAACUAAUGGAAAUUUGUAAAAGCGGGUCACAUUUGCAGUGAUGCCGCUAUUUUUCCUGAAUAUUCCUAGUUCUGAAGAUUGUCUAAAUCAUGUUAGUAGCUGCCAUCAGUGAAUGCAUUCAACGGCUUACUGAAACUGGUAGAGAUACUAAAUUCACAAGUUAUUGAUAGAAUAGAAGAUGACAGAGUGUCCAUGCGUCAGUUUAAGGAUCGAGAUGUGUAGCCGUGACUUGUAUUUUAAAAUUGCACAAGAUGCUUUACAAUGGUAGCAGAGGGCUGCGGAUUUAUUGGGUUAGUUGGAAGCACUCAAGUCGAAUUGGUUGUAGCAGAGCAAGAAGCUGAGCACGACCAUAAGAAUUUGAACUCUGAGGCUAAUUUGACUCUACUUGUAAGCCUUCCACUAGACAGCAAGGUUAGGAGAAAGAUUGAGUCGAUGUAAGCCUUCCUCUGACGCCUGUGACAGAUCAAUGAGGCAUGAAAGUUGGGAACAGGGGACGAUUGGCGUAUUGGAAUGGAAGUGGAAAACUUCUUCAGAGCCUGAUGCUCUCGGAGAUACAAUCUAAUGAAAAAGCGUAAUGAUGAUCAUGACUCCGCCCUUGCUCUAAAUCAGUAAGAUCAACCUCUCUACACAAUUCACUAAUACCACCUCUUUAUAACAUUCUCACUCCUAGGUGAUGAAUAAAGUAUCAAGAAACAUAUUUUGUAUAAUGAAUUAUAUUUUUUAUUAUAUUCCUUUUUUUAAAAUAUAUUGCGUAUUACACUGUUUAUUAAUUCUAUUUGAAGCAAUUAAUUAAUUUUUAGCCGUAAUUUAACUUUCAAGGUAGCAUUAUCAGCAUGAGGAAUAGGCAGAGCUUCCAGAUGCUCUCUUCUGAUAGAUAUCAUUCAGCACUUGCUCUGAGUUUGUUGAUCAACCACGCGAUGUUGUAGGCAGCUCCUAUCUUAUCUGCAAUCAAGUUAAUGAACCACUACCUCAGUUGUUAAGCAUCUUUCAACAUUUCACAUUUUUGAGCAUUUAAUUAAUUAGUCAUCAGUCUUGUAUUUAGCUUGAUCGAACAUAAUUGUUCUCUUCAAUUUCUUUGCCUACUUGUCGACGUGUUUAUGUAGCGUGUCUCUACUCUGUAGCUUACACAUCAUUGAUUCAUGUUAUUUUCCCCUUAGGAACUUGAGAGACAUUUGGCAUCAAAAGAAGCUUCUCUCCCGCAAGAACCAUUUUCCCCUUAUGAACAUUUGACAUUUUGGUGUUGCUGAGAGCGCAGCGACUUUUGAUGAACUCGGCCUGUCUGGCAGACAGGAGGCCUUGUUUCUGGAGUUAAUAUAGCGGAUCUCGAAGAGUUUACCCAGAUGGACCAACUUUGUUUGUUAGUUGGAUGUAAAAGUUGUUUAGAGACGGGUAUUUUGUCGAAGUUUGUAUCUAUUGGGUAUUUCGUCUUUUAGUCAGACUAUGGCUCAUACAGUUUCAUACAGUUUGAAGUUGAUAUCAAAUCUUAGAUUAAAUUACUGAACAUUGUUUCUUGAAUUCGAUAUCGAAUUUUAAACGAAAAUAUGUUCAGUUCUAAUUUAAAAGUUAUGCAAAUUACAUUAAUAAUAUGUGGCCCUGUUUGUUUACCAAAAGCAGAAGCUGCUUCUGGCUUCUGCUUUUCUUGACCCGUUUGUGUAAAGAAGCAGAAGCACUUUUAAUAAACUGAGAAUCCUAACUUCUCUCUCACAGCUUCGGCUUCUUUUCCAAACACUUUAUUCACUUAUUUACUUCUCACUUCUGCUCCACUUCUCUAGUUUAAGCAAGAAGUCACUUCUUUUAAGCUUGCCCAAACGGCCCCAUAAUCUAUUUUGAGUCUCUUGGUCUUCGGUCUUCUAUUGCAGCAUAUCAUGCACAUCUCAAAUGAUUGAAAAUGAACUCUCUCCAAAAGACAAGGGGGUCUGUUGAAGUAGACCUGGAAUUGAUUUUACUUGAAGAAACAAUAAUAGGUCACCUUUUAAAGUUUUGGUCUUUGUCUUUUAUCUCUUAAAGUCUUUGUCGUUUACAUCUCAUACAAUUUGCUAUCGUAUUUAACACUUCACACAAUUCCAUGCUAUCGUAUUGAACACUUCACACAAUUCCAUAAUAUUGAAGAUUUUUGGCUUGAAAUAUUCUAGAGAAUAAGGUUGUACAUAAAAUUCAAUAAUUUAUUUCCUUUCCUUCAAUAUUACAACUCAUAUAUUUGUUGCCAAUGACUCAUUCAAUUCGCAUCAAUUAUUAUCAUCUUCACUUUAUCAAAGAGUCUUGCUCUUCGUCCUUUACAUGCUUUUAUUACGAUCCCCAUGUGCUUUGAAAAUACUUGUGUUAUAGUCCACAUCAAUCAAUACUCCUUAUUAAUAAGCGAAACCACAUUUCAGUGGAACAUCGGUACUAAAAGUACCAAAUUUGAUCAUCUUAUAUCAUAUUUAAUUAUUAUUAUUAUUAUACUCCUAUUAAAAGUAUUAUAUUAUCCUUAGGAGAUUUAUAUUGGUCAGGAAUUUAUAAUAUUUUAAGAUAUUAUAAUUAAAGACGACUUCUAUAAUUAUUAGGAUUUUAUAAUUAAUAUAAACUUCUUACUUAAUAAUGAUAAUCAUUAAACUAUUUUGAAAAAAUGUCGUAUUGGUUAGAAUUUUAUAAUUUUAUUAUAUUAUAAUGAAAAGACUUUCAUAUUUAUUAUGAUUUUAUAAGUAAAUACUUUAAUAUUGGUUAGGAUUUUAUAAUUAUCUUGAUAUUGAUUAGAAUUUUAUAAUUAAAGACUUCAAUGUUAUACUAUUAAAAAAAGAUUUCUAACGUUGUUAGGAUUUUGGAAUGCAACAGUUAUACCACCAAUAAAAUUAUUUAUUUUAAAUUCUUUAAACUCAAAUAAUUUAAUUUAUGAAACAACUCUGUAAAACUCCUAUCAUAUUUCAGCAUUCAAAUAAAUAAAGAUUUAUAUUGAUAUUACUUUUUAUUAAUAUGCCAUAUUUUUCUUUAGUGGAAGAACAUGAGUACCAAAUACCGAAUUAUCAAAAUUUGGUUAAUAUCAUGUAAUUUUAACAUUGUCGUACUCUUCACAAUAUAAUAAUAUUAUUAUAAUAACGGAAAGGGGGUGGUAGCACUAUCAUGAUAAAUGCAAAUUCCAAUGAGAAUAAAAUUACUGUGAAAAUUUUAUAAAUAAAUUAAUUUUAAAUUUAUUUAAUUUAUAAUCUCUAUUAUAGUUUUAUAUUAAUUUGAAAAAUAUCUAUUAAUAUUGAAUAUACAAGAACUUCAAUUAGUGUUACACUUAAUAAUAUUUAUUAGACGUCUAAAAUAACUAUGAACUAAAAAAAUUAAGUUUUAUUAAAAAUGGUUGAAUUUUUUUUCCAUCUAUUUAGAAUAAAAACAACAUAAUAAUUUUAUUAAAAUGAAACUUACCAUUUUAAAAUAAAUUCAUAUAAUAACAUAUAUCCUGAGAAUGUUUAUUUUGAAAAAUAAAACUUAAACAUAAUUAAAUAUUAAUAUGUUAAUGCAUAAUAAGUUUUGUAUCUCAACAAUAAUAAUUUAAAUAACUAUAUCAAAAAUAUUAUAAUUCCAAUAAAUAAUAAACUUAAAAAAUUUAUAUAAUCCCGUGCUUGGCACNCAAAAAUAUUAUAAUUCCAAUAAAUAAUAAACUUAAAAAAUUUAUAUAAUCCCGUGCUUGGCACGGGUUAUAGACUAGUAUUGAUAAAUAGACAAAUUACAAUAUUUAGUUCAUUAAUGAAGAGAUAAGACAUUCAUGUGUAUGUAUUUGAAAAAUAAAAUAUUAUGAAGCUAAAUGAAUAAACACUUCUGAAAAGUAAAACCCGUUUCUGGUCCAUUUUGUAGCUUGAAGAAAUGAAGCAGAAGUCAAGAUUUCCUUGAAGAAACAAAAUUUUAUAAAAGUUAAAAACAAUUCGAUAAUUAUUGUCUUUUUAAAAAACGGAGCACGCAACACUCUUUUAUAUCAUAUUUCAAUUCUUAGAGUCUUCCUUCUACUACUCCAAAAGUGGUUCUAUUAUAGGCCACAUAUUAAUAGAUCGAUACAAAUUUAUUAAAAAGAUCCUUAUUUUCAACAAUCAAUAUCAGUUUGACUACAAAUUUAUCUGAAAUGACCCUUGUUAAUGGACUCUAGCUUAUAGGGUCAAACUUGGCUAUACAUGCCUCGGAGAAAAUUCACCAGUUCGUAGAAGAGACCUUUCUGCUAUCAACUCUAUGAAAAAUGCAGCACUUAUCAUCUAAAUAAAAAUCAGUAAGACUAUCUUAGAUUCUCUGAAGUGUUUAUAUUGCAGCCGCUUGUAUUGAAUACACACAUAAAUAACCACACAUAAUCAGCAAGGUUCGAAUUUUUUUGGUUUAACCAUAUCACCAACAUGAAGAAAAGACUUUCAAGCGUCAUAAUAGCUAAGAGCUUUUAUUUUCAGGAUAACCCCGGUCUAGAUUAUUAUAAAAAACUUGUUUAUAUGGAGACAUAAUAAAGGUCCCAGAAUUUUUUACUCUUCAAGAUUUCCGUUUCUAGCCAAAUUUUUUGACCAUAAAUAAUAUAUUGGUUUUACCUGAAAACAAAAUUUAAAGAAAAUUCAAAUUUUUUUAUUACUUCUUUUCUUUUAUUAUUACUUCUUUUCUUUUAUUUUGAAAUUGCAAAACAGCUCAAAGUAGUUCUAAAAGAAUCAUUCUCCCCGCUAGAAUCAGUUACAAUUAAGGUUGACAAGAUGUUUUAGCUGCGAGUUCUUCAAAUUAUUGCUCGUAAGGUCCACGACAGCUUAGAUAGUCACCAAAACUUUGGCCUGUGGAUUAAGUUGAUGAAAUCUAGUGUAUUAGAAUCAAUGACAGCACUAUUUUAUGGGAUUGAUGCUCACUCUUCAUAUUAUGUGUUUUUCUAAUGUGUGUGUCCAAAUACACACAAUAAACACUAAAUUUGAUAAAAAAUCGUAAUAUUAGUCAUUCCGCUCAUAAAUUUCAAGUGGAGAAGAAAGAGUUUCUCAAAAAAAAGUGGAGAAGAAAGAGCAUCGUGAUUGUCAUUGUACCCUUAAAAUUUGUUCGAUUAGGUUUUUUACAUAGUUUGCGCGUGGUCAUCUGGGUAUGCCUUCAUUAUAUUAAGCCAAUCUAGUAAUUCCAUAUUAAACAAGUUUAAAAUUUUCAAAUUUUGAUCUUAAUAAAAUUGAAAAAAUAGUGAACUUUUUCUUAUUUAUGAUAUUAACAAAUCUCUUACUUUUUUAUUACUGUAUUCAACUAAAUAUUUUUUACAAACCCUCAUAAAUGCAUCACAUCAGUUAUGAAAUUUAAAACAAAUAUAUCCAAUUUCUUCGAGAAAGAUGGUUGUAUAAUUUUUAAUUAAAAAAUUUAAUUAUUUUUAUUUUUAACAUAAUUUACAACUAAAAAAAUAUUAUAUGUUCACUGCUUUGUAAUAUAAUUAAAUAUAUCUUAAAUACAGUUUUUCCUAUAUAUAUGCUAACCUCGAGAGACGUUGAAGAUCAUCCCAAACAAAAUUUGAAAGGGAAAAUGAAAAUGAGGAAUUGCAACCUCUGUUUUUUCACCAUCAGUAUGAUGCUCAUCUUCUUGCAGUUGCAGCACCACCUGGUGGCUUGUUCAUUAAGCCCCCACUUGCAGAAACUUGCCUUGUUCCACUUUAACCAAACCUUCACAAUCACUCCUGGGGAUUGCGAGUAUUAUUCCUACAAAGACGAAGAAUUUUACGAAAUUCCUUCACGGGCAAAGACAAAGAACUGGAGCAUGAGUUCUGAUCACUGCACAUGGGAUGGAGUUAGCUGCGACGACAAGACGGGGGACGUAAUUGGACUGGAUUUAACUUGCGGUCAGCUGGUAGGAGCCAUACACUCAAACAGCACUCUUUUCCAACUCUCUCAUCUUCGCUUCCUCGACCUUUCUUACAAUGACUUUUCCCUCUCCGAUCAGUUCCCUCAGGAAUUUGGCUUCUUUGCAAAAGGAUUGACGCAUCUCAACCUCUCUCGUACUGGAUUAUCAGGGAGAGUUACCUCAGGAAUCUCUCAUUUGCAUAAACUGGUCUCACUUGAUCUCAGUGAGAACUUUGAAGCUGAACUUGAAGCAGAAGUGUUUAAAUCACUAUUGCAGAAUUUAACGCAUCUCAGAGUGCUUAAUCUUCAUGAAGUUAACAUCCCAUCUGUUUUGCCGGUGAAUAUCUCUACUUCUCUAAGAGUUCUUCAAUUGUCGUAUACUCAUAUACACGGAGUAGUACCGCAAGAAGUUUUCCACCUUCCCAACUUGGAAUUACUUGAUUUAUCAAAUAAUCACGACCUGAGAGCUACAUUAUCCAAAGUUAAGUGGGGAAGUAAAGCUACUCUCCAAUACCUUCAUCUUUCAUACAUCAACAUAGAUGGAGGUAUACCUGACUCAAUAGGCUUUUUGGAGUCAUUAGUCAGUUUAGAUCUGCUCGACUGUAAUUUGUCUGGGACGAUGCCAAGAUCCAUUGGACACCUCGUUCAACUUACUCACUUGGACCUCUCUUUUAAUAAUCUCAAUGGCCCAAUUCUAACUUUUUUUACAAACCUUACUGACUUAAGAUAUAUGUCCCUUGGGCUUAACAAUUUUACUGGUCCGUUUCCCUCUUUUCUUGCCCACUCUAGUAAACUAGUUGAGUUGUAUCUUUAUGGUAAUAGGUUUACUGGAUCCGUACCUCGUUCGUUGUUUCACCAUCCAUCGUUAGAGUUCUUGAAUUUGGCAUAUAAUGCAUUCACAGGUCAACUCCAUGAAUUUGAUUCUUCUCGAUCUCGGCUGCAAUCUUUUUCUUGUUCCAGCAAUUUACUCUAUGGAUCCAUUCCUCAUUCAUUUUCUCAACUUGUGAAUCUCACUGAACUAGACUUUUCAUCAAACAGUUUCAGCGGGGUUUUGGAUUUGGAAAUGUUUUCAGGCCUCGGAUUUCUAAAACGUCUUGAUCUUUCUCAUAACAGUCUUUCAGUGAGAAGUACAAUUACGGACACUCUCCCUCCCAAUCUUUACCACUUGGACUUGUCAUCAUGUAACAUGAAAGAGUUUCCUCACUUUUCAAGAGAUGCACACAUCUUCCUGGAUUUUGUAGACCUAUCAAACAAUGAAAUUGAAGGGGAAAUUCCACACUGGAUUGGGUCGAUAGGGAGGUACUCUGUCUACUAUCACAUCCCCUAUCUGAAUCUUUCUCACAACAAACUAAUAGGCGGUCUUGAGCAAUUGCCUUGGGGUCAUAUUAGGUUUCUUGAUCUCCAAUACAAUAAGCUGAAUGGAUCAUUGCCCACCUUGAUGUGUAAUUCCAGCUCUCUUUAUAUUCUAAAUCUCUCUCACAACAAUUUGAGUGGUGUACUACCCAGUUGUCCUACAAAUUUGACUCGUCUUUCAGUGUUGGAUCUGCGGAGGAAUAAAAUUCAGGGAAACAUUCCAGCAACCUUGUCAAAUUUCCGUAACCUGGAAACUAUUAAUUUGAAUGGAAACCGAUUACAAGGAAGCAUUCCUUCUUCUUUUGCUGAAUUUGAUUCUUUAGCCAUUCUUGAUCUUGGAAAUAAUAAGAUAAAUGAUACAUUCCCCCGGUGUUUGGAAGCUCUUCCAAAUCUUCAAGUUCUUGUUCUCAAAUCAAACAAGUUUUAUGGUCUUAUAAACACUAGUUCUAAGAUUGUAUACCCAUUUCCUAGAUUGAGAAUCAUUGAUCUGUCGGACAAUGAGUUUUCCGGUCCACUGCCAGCGAAAUACUUCAGAAACUUCAAGGCUAUGAUGAAUAGUGAUGUAAGCAAAAUAGAUCGCAGUUAUAUGAAUUAUAGUUCCUAUUACAGUGAUUCCACGACUCUGGUGAUUAAAGGAGUAGACAUGGAGUUGGUAAAGAUAUUAACUAUUUUUACAACCAUGGAUGUCUCAAGGAACCAUUUUGAAGGGGAGAUUGUAGAAUCAAUUGGAAAUCUGGUGUCACUUAGACUUCUCAAUUUAUCUCACAAUCAUCUCAGAGGCCGCAUACCAUUCAUGAUUGGAAAUUUGUCAAUGCUGGAAUCACUAGACCUCUCAUUCAACCAACUUGAAGGAGAAAUUCCGCAACAGCUCACCAGUAUAUAUACACUUGAACGUCUUAAUCUGUCAUGCAACCAACUCAGUGGUCGUAUUCCACAAGGUUCUCAGUUUAAUACAUUUGAUAAUGAUAGCUAUGCUGGUAACUUGGGGCUGUGUGGAAAUCCAUUGUCCAAAAAGUGUGAACCUGAUAUUGUGGAGAAAGAAAGUGACGAAGAUGAGGAUGAUGAUUACUUCUUUAGUGGAUUUACUUGGGAAGCGGUGGUGAUUGGAUAUGGGUGUGGAGUGGUGCCUGCAUUUAUCACUGGCUACCUGAUGUUGUUGGCACGGAAACCAAAAUGGUUUGCUGGAAUCAUUGGCAGGGAAUUGGGCCUGAAGAUCAGGAGGAUGGAGAUUAGAAUGCGAUAACUAAAGGUUUGCUGUAAUCUAUAUCCCAUUUGUAGGUCUUCAAUAUUCAGUAAUAAUAUAGUAAUAUCUGCUAUCAUAUAAUUCUAUAUUUGCAGAUUGGAGAGGCAUGAACAUUUUGGCAUGUAAGUUGAUGGGACAAGCAGGAUUCAGAUGCACAUGAAUCAACUACUUCGGUGUUGUAGGCAGCUAGGUUAAUAAACCACUACUUGAGCUGUUAAGCAUCUUUGGUCAUUUUAAAUAUAAAUUGUACAAUAAAAGAUACUUACUCUGCACAUAUUCUAAGUUCCAUAUACAAGUUCUGUAUUGUUUAGUUACUCUGCACAAACUCUAAGUUAGUUUCAACCACUGGGGUGUAAGCAGCCAAGUUAAUAAACCAGCAGUUUCUGUAGCUUUCACAACGUUGCUUCAUAUUAUUUUCCCCCUUGUUAGAUGAGCAAUAUAUUUGUGGAAUGGAUGUACCUGAAUUUGGUAUCCGAAGCUUAGUUAUAGAAAUUGUAGAUCAGCUAGUUUGCAACUUACUGGAAUGCUUUCCAUUGGACUUGAUUUACUCGUAGAGAAGCAGCACGCAAUGUUAAGGAAGGCCUGAUACAUAAUGUAUUUAAGAUAAUGUUUUGCAUCAAUUAUUACAAAAAGCUACUACUUUAAAUUGAUGAACAUUUACUAUAGCAGUACUGUGGUAUUAAAGUGAGUACUAAUAUUAGUGGCGGAGGCAGAACACAAUGUUAGGGGGGCACUUUUUAAUUUUUAACAUUCUAGGGGCAAUUUUUAACAUUCCAGGGGACACAAAAAAUAAUAUUUUGUAGAUUAAUAUUAUCAAAUAGAGUUAAGUUCUAUGGAGUACAUAAAAACAUUAGAGUAUUGGAGUACAAAUCAUAAUUUUUUUUAGUUUGAUUCUAUAUAAUAUCUUUGAAUAUCCAAAUUUUGAUAUAAUCUAUCAUUUAUAAGUUGUGUUGCACAUAAUUGUCAAUUAAUCAUUAAUAUCUUUCAACUUUAACAAAGAUUAAGAUUAUUGUUCUGCUUAUUAGUUAUAUUGCAGAACAUAGAGUCCUAUGAUUUAUAAAAGUAAUUAUUCUACCAUUUGAUCAUGAUGUUUAUGUUGCAGAACAUAAUGUGCAGGUUGUCAAAUAUUUACAAAUAUUAUUGGACAAAAAAAUUGAAAUUUAGAUGACUAAAUUACAUUUUAUCAAACUUUGUACUCCAAUACUCCAAUUUUUUUUUGUACUCCAUAGAACUUAACUCUUAUCAAAUAUAUGGAUCUUAUAUAAAAACAUACACAUUUUUCUGAAACUUAUGAGGGCAUGGGCACCCAGAGGCCCCCAUGUCCCUCCGCCUCUGCUAAUAUAAGAUGUUAGUCGAGUUCGAAGAAGUUUUGGAAUUCUUUUUAUUGAGAGUUUUUGCAAAACGUGGUUAGGAAAUUGAGAAUUUUGAGUUUUAAAAUUAGCUGUAAAAAAUAAUCGGUCAAUUGUAUUAGAUAUUACAUGCAUUUGAGUUUUAAAAUUAGGUGUAAAAAAUAAUGGGUCAACUGCAACAGAAAUGAAUUGGUUUGGUUUCACCCGGAAGAGUUCUGCACUUCACACUCUAGAUUCCAGAAAUAAAAAAAUUCAAAUAUAAAAUGUCAAAUAUUUUAGUUUAUACUCCCUCCGUCCAUUUUAGAUUUUUAGUUGUCACUGCCGGUCAAAUUGACCAAAAUUUGACUAAAAUUUAUUAAUAUUUUAUUAAUUGAAAAAAUAAAAAAAUUAUGUUACCACAAAUUACUUUCAAUCUACAUGAAAUUUUCAAUUUUUUAAAAUAAUGAAGAAGUAACUUGUAAUCUUUGAUCAAAAAUUAGUUAAUUUGACAUAAAAAAAAAAUUGUUACAACUAAAAUGGACCAAGGAAGUACAUAAGAUUUGCUAGUUACCUGCUUACCUUCACUCCUUAUGUCUUAAGCCACUCUUUAUUAUUUUUGAUUACAUAAUAAAUAUGUUUAAACUUUUAACUUUUUAUAUUUAAUAAAUUUAUAUAAUUUAAUUAUUAAAUUUUUUGAUUUGUAUUAAGUUUAAUUUAUAGAUACAUUUAUAUCAAAAUUACUAAAAUCAAUCAAAAUUUUAAUAUUUUGAUUCAGUAACCAGAAUAUAAAUAUAUUUAACUUUUGAAAUGAUAUAUAAAUAGUUUAUGAUUAAAAAAAAUUAAUAAGUAACUUGCACAAUUUCUCUUAAUUACAGUAAUAAAUCUCUUAUUAGUACUUUCAACUAAAUAUUUCUCCCAAACACUUAUAAUUUAUGUCCAAUUUUCAUAUUAUUUCUUUUAGAAAGAUUGUUGUAUUAUUUUAAAUUUUAGUAAUUAAAUCAGUUUUAUUUUUAUGAAUUCCAAAUUUAAAAACCUUAAUAUUUUUGUCACGCUACUUCUUAUUUGUAAUACAAAUUAUUUCUAGAUAAAAUUAAUAUAUUAAUAAAUAUAGUGUAAUUAACUACAUAUAAUACAUUGAAAUUAAAUAAAUAUGCUCUGUACAUUUUUUUCACAUGCAAAAAACUGCACUGUUUCGGUUUAAGCAAAGCUUGAUAAUCAGGACUCCUAGCUGGAAUGGCGAGUAUUAUUCCUACGAAGAAGAUGAUGUUCAUGAUAUCCCUUCACCCCCAAAGACAAUGAAUUGGAGCAUGAAUUCUGAUUACUGUGCAUGUGGGAUGGAGUUAGCUGCGACGAGAAUACAGGGGACCUAACCGGACUGGAUUUAAGCUGCAGUCAUCUGGUGCAUUGGAAUGAAAUUAUAGAACUUCUUCAGAGCCUGAUGCUCUCGAGGAUGCAGUAAUGAACAAGCCUAAUGAUGAUCAUGAGUCAUAACUCCGUCCUCGAGAGCCUGAUGCUCUCGAGGAUGCACUAAUGAACAAGCCUAAUGAUGAUCAUGAGUCAUAACUCCGUCCUUGAAUAAAGUGUCAUGAAACAUAUUUUGUAUUACAUUUUGUAUUAUUGGAAACUUGAUUUGAAACCAAAAUAGUUUGGUGGAAUCAUUGCCAGGGUAUUGGGUCUGAAGAUCGAGGAUGGAGAAUAAAUUGAUUUUGUUCAAAUAUUUAACACAAGCCCAUCAUCAUUAUCCAACACAAGCCCGGUCCAGUAUAGAGUUCUGGCAACUCCAUUGUUGAACACUUCUGUUGAAGUUGGCCUGUCUGGCAGACAAGAGGCCCUGUUUUAGAGGUGAUAUAUGCGCACAGGUAAAAAAUGUAUAUUUCUUCCAAUAGAUUACAUCUCUUUUCUUCAAAAUUUAUUGUAGUUUCAAAAAGUAGCAUUUGAGAACUCAUUCUAUUCCCCUUUUAAAUACUUGGUCUUGGUCAAUACAAACACGAUUAAGACCGGUGUCAAUAUCCCUCAUAAUUUUUCCACUCCUUUGAAUGGCAUUCUACAAUCCACAUAUCAGACUCAUAAAUAAUUAGUUGAAAUCAUUACCAUAGUCCAUAGCGAAAAGACUUUCACCAUUGAACCAUUGCAUAGAUAAUUGAAGAAAGAAACUUCAACAUAUUUGCAUAUCUUUAUCUAUCUUUUUUUCUAGUCAUCAACAGGCACAAGCUGUUGAUUUUUAUAUGUUCUUAAUUGGUAUAAGCAUUUAAGGUGAGUGUUGAUAUUUCUCACUAAUCUUCUUCUGCUCUAAGUGACAUAUUAUUACAAUCCACAAAUUAGUAGACAGACUAAUAUGGUUAGUUGAGACCAUCAAUCUGGAGAACAGACUAAUACAUGUGUAGUAAUCUGAUCAUCAUUUAUUUGAUUACAAUAGAAAUUCGGCUUUGUUUAGUUCCAUCCUCGGGCUCUUCAUUUCUAAACAUAUUUGCUGAUACUUUUUAUUGUACAAUUUAGAAUAUUCCAUAAAAUUUUAUAUUCGGUGCUAGAUGAAUUUAUGUCUUGUUUUCAUUCCAUUCAUGAACUAAUGAAAAUUUUAAAAUUGGGUCAUAUUAGGCAGUGAUGCCACCUUUCUGGACCUGCAUUUCAUGACCACAAACUCCUAUUGUGCCAAAAAAUUCCAGCUGUUUCGUGAGAUUUUUCUACGUGCUCUUUUGUUCGGACUUGUUUGCUGAAUCCCACAAUAGACAAUAUUGAUGUUAACAACUCUUGCGUCAGUUACUAGACUCGUUGUUAGUAGCCCAUUCUUUACGGCAGACGUGGAAUUUACUUGAAGAAAUGAAGGUGUAAGAACAGGGGCGGAUCCAGCCUUCGCAUCUCACCCGGGCUGAAAGCCUGAAACACUUAUAACCUUGAAGGUAUACAGUGGAGGUGAAGAGGGGAAAAAAAUAUAUAUGGUACUGACAGUGACAUGGAAAUAUGGAUAUUAUUCUUUUAACCUGCUGCAGGGACUAUCAGCUGGUAAAUUCAUGUCAAAUCAAUUUUUUUGACNGCCGAGACGAGUCGGCGAGACGGCCGAGACGAGUCGUCGACGUGCGAGACGAGUUGGCGCGAGACGGGCGAAGCGAGACAUCUCCGAGACGAGUCAUGCGUGCGUGCCGAUACGUACGAGCCGAGACGAGGCGUCCACGUUUUCUCAAACCCAGGCUCGUGAUCGCCUCGUCUAUUUNACUAUAACUAAUAAUUCAUGUCAAAAUCAAGAUUAUAAAAAUUAAUAAUAUGACUACAAAAAUAAAAUAUAAACGUAAGGUAAUAACAUAUGGUAAACCUGAAUAUAUUUUAGUAACAAUUGUUUUGACAUAGUUAGAUUAAGGGAUUAAAUUAUUAUAUAAAAUAAUAAAAGUAGCUAUAUAUUAAAAAAAUAAAGCUAUAUUUAUAUAAUUAGUUUAAACACGUCAAAAGGUCAAAAAGCAAGAUUAAACCGCUUAGCUUAUAUAAACACCAUGACCGACUGUUUGACCUAAACUAAACAAAUUUAUAUUUAAAAUACAAAAUUACAUGAAUAAAACCGAAAUAGGGUUACAAUUCAUAAAAGUUAACAGCAACUCUGGUUAAUUAAUAAAGUUCCAGACCCAAAACUGAGAAAAGUGUCGGGCUUUUUAAAAUUUUAGACCGGGCUAAAGAUCAGUAAACUUUCGUCGAGGCUGGUAAAAUUUUUUGUAUCAUAAAACUCACCCGGGCUUUAGCCCACCGGAGCCCAUACAUAGAGAAAGUUGAGAACAUUUUGUUGAUUAUUCCCUUCCCUAGAAACUGCACUCCGCCAUCAAAGUACCUUUCAAAGACUCCAGCAUCAUUUCUUGAUUAUCAAAGUCUUCGUCUUUGUCAUCUCCUGCUCUGAAAGUGUUUCUAUUGCAGACCACAUAUUAGUAGACAGACUACUAAAAUUCAUCUAAAAUGACCUCUCUGCGUGGGCUCUUUUGAACAAUCAGGGUUGGACAUGAUUCUACACGCAUCAGAGAAAAACUAUCAGCUGGCUAAANUCUUCAAAAUUUAUUGUAGUUUCAAAAAGUAGCAUUUGAGAACUCAUUCUAUUCCCCUUUUAAAUACUUGGUCUUGGUCAAUACAAACACGAUUAAGACCGGUGUCAAUAUCCCUCAUAAUUUUUCCACUCCUUUGAAUGGCAUUCUACAAUCCACAUAUCAGACUCAUAAAUAAUUAGUUGAAAUCAUUACCAUAGUCCAUAGCGAAAAGACUUUCACCAUUGAACCAUUGCAUAGAUAAUUGAAGAAAGAAACUUCAACAUAUUUGCAUAUCUUUAUCUAUCUUUUUUUCUAGUCAUCAACAGGCACAAGCUGUUGAUUUUUAUAUGUUCUUAAUUGGUAUAAGCAUUUAAGGUGAGUGUUGAUAUUUCUCACUAAUCUUCUUCUGCUCUAAGUGACAUAUUAUUACAAUCCACAAAUUAGUAGACAGACUAAUAUGGUUAGUUGAGACCAUCAAUCUGGAGAACAGACUAAUACAUGUGUAGUAAUCUGAUCAUCAUUUAUUUGAUUACAAUAGAAAUUCGGCUUUGUUUAGUUCCAUCCUCGGGCUCUUCAUUUCUAAACAUAUUUGCUGAUACUUUUUAUUGUACAAUUUAGAAUAUUCCAUAAAAUUUUAUAUUCGGUGCUAGAUGAAUUUAUGUCUUGUUUUCAUUCCAUUCAUGAACUAAUGAAAAUUUUAAAAUUGGGUCAUAUUAGGCAGUGAUGCCACCUUUCUGGACCUGCAUUUCAUGACCACAAACUCCUAUUGUGCCAAAAAAUUCCAGCUGUUUCGUGAGAUUUUUCUACGUGCUCUUUUGUUCGGACUUGUUUGCUGAAUCCCACAAUAGACAAUAUUGAUGUUAACAACUCUUGCGUCAGUUACUAGACUCGUUGUUAGUAGCCCAUUCUUUACGGCAGACGUGGAAUUUACUUGAAGAAAUGAAGGUGUAAGAACAGGGGCGGAUCCAGCCUUCGCAUCUCACCCGGGCUGAAAGCCUGAAACACUUAUAACCUUGAAGGUAUACAGUGGAGGUGAAGAGGGGAAAAAAAUAUAUAUGGUACUGACAGUGACAUGGAAAUAUGGAUAUUAUUCUUUUAACCUGCUGCAGGGACUAUCAGCUGGUAAAUUCAUGUCAAAUCAAUUUUUUUGACUUUAUAUAUAUAUAUACUCAUUUACAUAUAAAAAAAAUAUAAAAUUUAAGAAUCUCAAAUAUUGGAGGUAGCCUGAAUAACAUUUGUUUGUCACUAAUACAAUAAAAAUUAAUUUUGUAUGAUCAGCUACAUAGACUAAAUCAUUUUAUUUUAUUUAUUUUAAACUAUAACUAAUAAUUCAUGUCAAAAUCAAGAUUAUAAAAAUUAAUAAUAUGACUACAAAAAUAAAAUAUAAACGUAAGGUAAUAACAUAUGGUAAACCUGAAUAUAUUUUAGUAACAAUUGUUUUGACAUAGUUAGAUUAAGGGAUUAAAUUAUUAUAUAAAAUAAUAAAAGUAGCUAUAUAUUAAAAAAAUAAAGCUAUAUUUAUAUAAUUAGUUUAAACACGUCAAAAGGUCAAAAAGCAAGAUUAAACCGCUUAGCUUAUAUAAACACCAUGACCGACUGUUUGACCUAAACUAAACAAAUUUAUAUUUAAAAUACAAAAUUACAUGAAUAAAACCGAAAUAGGGUUACAAUUCAUAAAAGUUAACAGCAACUCUGGUUAAUUAAUAAAGUUCCAGACCCAAAACUGAGAAAAGUGUCGGGCUUUUUAAAAUUUUAGACCGGGCUAAAGAUCAGUAAACUUUCGUCGAGGCUGGUAAAAUUUUUUGUAUCAUAAAACUCACCCGGGCUUUAGCCCACCGGAGCCCAUACAUAGAGAAAGUUGAGAACAUUUUGUUGAUUAUUCCCUUCCCUAGAAACUGCACUCCGCCAUCAAAGUACCUUUCAAAGACUCCAGCAUCAUUUCUUGAUUAUCAAAGUCUUCGUCUUUGUCAUCUCCUGCUCUGAAAGUGUUUCUAUUGCAGACCACAUAUUAGUAGACAGACUACUAAAAUUCAUCUAAAAUGACCUCUCUGCGUGGGCUCUUUUGAACAAUCAGGGUUGGACAUGAUUCUACACGCAUCAGAGAAAAACUAUCAGCUGGCUAAAGACCUCUCUGCAUCAACUCUAUUAAGAAAAGAAACUAUGGCUCAUACAGUUUAAGUUGAUAUCAAAUCGUAAAUGAGAAUACUUGCAGUUUUAAAUUACUGCACGCUAUUUUUUUUAACGAAAAUAUGUGCAGUUUUAACAUAGUCUAAUUAUUUUCUUGAUGACGGCUAUGCAAAUUGUGAUAGUUGAAUUUUUUUUAUGGUCUUUGACAAGCAUCAAGGAAAUUGUGAUAGUUGAAUUACCCUGAUUGUCAAAAACUACCUCGUAAUCAGAACGGGUUUUUUUUUGAGUUUGUUAAGGAUUCUCUCCAGGCAAAAGUUUCUCUUAUGCAGUUGAAGGUGAAAAUUAAGUCGUUGAAGAGGAAAUAUAAGUCUCUCAAAGAUUAUGAUGUUGUGUUUGACAAACCCAUGGAAGAGGAAUUGUUUCGCCUUUCCGAUAAGGUUUGGAGCCAAGGGAUUGAUAAUCAGGGUAAUGCUGCUAGCAAGGACAAGGAUAUAAGUAUCGAGAUCAAAGAGGAUGGAGUGAUUGAGGACUGUAGGAAGGAUAAGGAUACGAGCAUUGGGAUAAAUGAGGAUGGAGUGAAUGAGGCCGGUAGGAAGGAAAAGGAUACGAGAAUCGGGAUAAAUGGGGAUGGAGUGAAUGAGGACGGUAGGAAGGACAACGAUAUGAGCAUCGGGAUAAAUGGGGAUAUGGUAGAAGCCUCCAGGCUAAUGUGUCGAAGGGGAGGACAUGGAUGCUAUGGAAAUUUAGUUAGGAGGAAAUAUAAAUCAUGCUAACAGGAGCAGAUGAUGAACUUGAUUGCAAUGAAGAACUGAAGUUCCACAACGAGAUGAAGUCGACGAAGGAAGGUAGGAAGGACAAGGAUACGAUCAUCAGUCUUGUAUUUAGCUUGAUCGAAAAUAACUGUUCUCUUCAAAUUCUUUCCCUNUCUCUACUCUGUAGCUUACACAUCAUUGAUUCAUAUUAUUUUCCCUUAGGAACUUGAGAGACAUUUGGCAUCUAAAGAAGCUUCUCUCCCGCAAGAACCAUCACCAGAUGAUGAUAAUGCCGUUAACCUGCUUGUGCGGAUGCCGGAUGGCGGCCGGCAAGGCCGCAGAUUCCUCAAGUCCCACAAGCUUCAGGUAUUUAUUCCGUGACAAUAUUUUUCCAGUUAUUGGUUAAAAGUUGUAUAAUUGGUUGUUACUUGAUUUGCAGCAUCUUUUUGACUUCAUCGAUGUUGGUCGGUUGGUCAGACCUGGUACUUACAGACUGGUAAUCCUUCAUGUGCUUUUUUACCUUUCACACUUAAUUCUUGUGGGGGCACACUUAUAUUUUUACAAAGUUUUAAAUGACGAAUAAAUUCCAAAUAAUUUUUAUGGGGGACAGUCCCCCUUGCUAGAUCCCCUCCUGGUGUCCAAACUUUUUUUACAUUUCAUAAUUGAUUGUCUGGACCGGCAAAGAGCAAUGAAUAUUCAUUUUAGUCACAUAGGAGUGUCGGGGUUUGUAUUGUUGUUAUGCUUGAUAGUAUAUAGAGAGCUUAUUGACUAGUUGACUCAACAUCGUUUCUUUUUCCUUUCCCCCAUCUUCUCUGGUGAUUAAUGUUUGCGUGAUCCCACUAGUCCUUCCGCAAAAAAAAAAAGAAGUUAUAUUGUAUUUUUAAAAUGAAUUGCAUUUCAAACUAUUUGUUUGAUAAGUAGGGUACUCGUGUAAUUUAAUUGUAAUAUCGAUACCUUUUUUUGUAACACCAAAGAAAAAUUAGAAUCUUUAUAGUGUCAGGACUCUUGAUACUUGGUAGAUGCUUGAGAAGAAGGCUGUAUUUGAAGAUAUGGAGAAUGUGGUAACCAUAUGACUAAGGUCAACUAACUUUUGCUUGCUAAAGUGGAACUCUGUCAAAAAUUUAUCUGUAUCUAUCUCUUUUUUGUAGUCAUCAGUAGAUUUACUCUUCCAUAUGUAUCAGGGUCAAGUUGUUGAAAUAUAUCAGUCCUUAAUAGGUGUUAGCACAAUUUAGAUGAGCAAAAUAUUUAAGGAACGUAUGUACUUCAACUUGGCAUGCAAAACGAGUUAUACAAAUGGUAGAUUAGCUAGUUGGUAAUUUAAUGAGAAUCCUUUCCAUUGGACUUGAUUCAUUGAUAGAGAAGCAAAGCACAAUGUUACUUCCUGAUACAUAAUGUAUUUAUGCCUCGUAUAGAUAUAUUAUGAUUGUUAGAAUUAAACAUGUUUUAUUUUGCACAGGCAAGGCCGUAUCCAAGACGGGCUUUUGGUGUUGGUGAGAGCUCAACAACUUUUGAUGAACUUGGCCUGUCUGGCAGACAGGAGGCCUUGUUUCUGGAGUUAAUAUAGCAGAUAUAGUUAUCGUAAAAUUGUAAUAGGAUCUCGAAGAGUUUACCCAGAUGGACCAACUUUGUUUGUUAGUUGUAAAAGUUGUUUAGAGAUGGAUAUUUUGUCAAAGUUUGUAUCUAUUGGGUAUUUGGUCUUUUAGUCAGACUGUGGCUCAUACAGUUUGAAGUUGAUAUCAAAUCUUAGAUGAGAAUGUUUGCAGUUUGAAAUUACUGAACAUUGUUUCUUGAAUUCGAUAUCGAAUUUUAAACGAGAAUAUGUCCAGUUCCACUACAAGAGAAAGCGAUUCUACCAAUGGAAUUUGCUAAGGGAAAUUAGUCCGUUGGUAGUUCCCAACGGAUUUGUAAUGAUUUGACUAGUCAAUGUUCUGCCAACCAAGUCGCAACGAAAUACCCACGUUUAUUUACCAACGAAACGUUCCGUUAAGAAAUAUAACCACAUAAUGGAAUAGUAACAAAAGGCCAAGGAAUGAGCAACAGACUAGUAACGAAAAUAUCUGUUAUUACGUUCAUUGAUAUUCCGUUGAUAAAUACUAACAAUUCCGUUAGUAAUUGAUUAUUAGUUUUAUAACAUGGACAAUUGAUAUACACUACAUGAGCAGUCUCUUAUUUGACAUUUGUGUCAUGCUAAAGCCCAAUGGGCUUUAGUCGAUUAAAUUGAUUUGGGUUGUAGAAAACGGCCAAUAAUAUAAUGGACUUUGAUAUGUAUCGUAAAUAUUAAGUAAUUUUCUUGGAUUUAUGUAUAUAACAUAAUUGUUAAUUGGCUCAUCCUUAACUAGAAAUUUUAUAUUACAUUCUUAACUAGAAAUUUUAUAUUUAAAAAAAAUUAAUCUUUUAUGUGGUAUGUGGAUUUUGUAGUCAAAUGCGGUCAAUUUACUUAGCCUUUGAUCGGAUACCUACCCAAAACAUAAAAAUAUUUUUUAUUUUCGAUGAUCCAGCUAUACGGAUAUUAUUGUAAUGUGAUAAUAUUGAUUAAAUUUUUUUUUAAAAAAGUAGCAUUUUAUUUGGUAUGUGAAUUUUGUAGUCAAAUGCAAUUAAAUUACUUAGUCUCUAAUGGAAUACUUGCCCGAAACAUAAAACUAUUUUCUUAAAACACAAUUUGGACGAUCCAACCAUACAGAUGUUAUUAUAACGUGUUAAUAUUGGUUAAAAUAAUUUUUAAGAAUAUAUGUCUUUUAUUUGGUGUGUGGAUCUUGCAGUCAAAUGCGGUCAAAUUACUUAGCCUUCAAUCGAAUACUUACCCAAAACAUGAAACUGUUUUUUUAAAAAUCAUUUCGGACGAUCCAACCGUACGGAUAUUAUUGUAAUGUGAUAAUAUUGAUUAAAUUUGUUUUUGAAAAAUUUUAGCUUUUGAUUUGGUGCGUGGAUUUUGUAGUCAAAUGCGGUCAAACUACUUGGCCUUUAAUGAAAUACUUACACGAAACAUGAAAUUAUUUUUUUUUAAAACCAUUUUGGAUGAUCCAACCGUGCGGAUGUUAUUAUAACGUGUUAUAUUGAUUAAAAUAUUAUUUAAAAAAUAGCCUUUUAUUUGGUGUGUGGAUUUUGUAGUCAAAUGCUCAAAUUACUUAGCCUUUAAUCGAAUACUUACCUUAAACAUGAAACUAUUUUUAAAAAAAUUAUUUUGGAUGAUUCAAACUGUAGGGAUGUUAUUUUAACAUCUUAAUAUUGAUUAAAAUUAUUUUAAAACAAUUUAGUUUUUUUUUAUGUGUGAAUAUUUUAGUCAAGUACGAUAAAUUAUUUAUUUAGCCUUCAAUGAAAAAUUAAAAAUCCCGCACAGCCAAAAGUUUUCCCUCGUUUUGUGAAUCUUCCCCAGCCAUUUCCCCCCAACCCCAACCCCGAAAUUCACAAAACUCUCCCCCCAAAUUAGCUCGGCCUCUCCCAAAUCUCUAUCUCUCUUUGUAUAUCUUUAGGUGUGUUUUGUAGAGGCGGCCACCUCCAAAGCUUCAAAAUAAUCAAACUUAUCACCGCCGCUGUUCGAGAAUGAAUUUCUUUUAGGAGAUUCGUCGAUUUAGUUAUCAAAUUAGUUACCAUUAGGGUUCUACUCCGAUUUUCAAUAGUAUGAUGUUGGGGUUCGAUUGGUCGAUUGUCAUGUUUUAUAAGUUAUGUGGGUUCGAUUUUGAUGUUUUUACAAUUAGGUUUAUGUAUGUUUUUAUACGGGUUUCAUGUUCAUGUUUCGAUUUGUUGAUUUCCUAUUUUUCCUAUAUGUUAAUUUGUUAUUUGUGUGGAUUUUGGAUUUUGAUGUGUGUGUGUGUAAUGCCCUGUUUUUUUUUCAUUUUUUCAGGUUCGAACACUUCGAUUAGUAGCCGGAAAAACAACUGAUGCGGCAGUAGCGGCUAGCAAGGAGAUGAAUAACAAGAAAAGGCCGAUUUCGAGGUCAUCUCGUGCAAGUCUUCAGGUAUAGUUUUAUUCCUUUAUAUUUUUAAUCGACAUAAAUCUAACAAGUAAUUAUAGUUCUAACAAGUAAUUAUAGUUCUGAAUGGGGAGCUUAUUGUGAAAUUGAAUUGAGGGACAAGUUGUGUUAUUGGUUCCAGUAGAUAAAUUUAUGUUGACACUUGAUAUAUGCAUUUUUCCACUAUGAUGCUCCCUUUGGUUUGCUUAAGGUCAAGUACCGUUACUUAAUGCAUUUACAAGUAUUCCAGAACAAGUUUGUGCGCCAUAGUGCUACCUUAAUCUAUGAAUUUGAUGCCAGGCACUUUAGGUGUUAUCUCUUAUUGAUUUUUUAUUGGAGAGUUUGGGUGUUUUCUGGAAGAAGUAUAUAGUGAGAGCAGAGGUUUUCAUUUUCGUCAUGAUUUACUCUAAUGUUUCUAAUGUUCACCUGUUAACUGCUGUAGAUUUGGGCUUUAUCUAUUUCUACAUAAUUUAUUUUUGUCUUUGUUGCUGCUUCUUGAUAAUUUUCAAUAAUUGAAACUUUUGUUACAAAUAUAUGCUUGCUAGUCAAUUGUAUGUAGAAAUCUCUAACAAAACUUUAACUUUUACCUUUGAAAUUUAGUUACGAAUUUAAAGAAUUUGACUAGAACUUCAGUCGGUGGAUUCUUGACAUUUUUAUGUAAAUCAUAUAGUAUUCAGGAGUUACCCUGUAAAAUGCCCACAAAUCUUAAAUUAAUUAGAAGUCAAGUAAUAAGCUUAAGGCCUCUGAGACUGUGUCUGCAUUCUAGAUUUCAAUACAUUCUAUAUCAUAAUGUUGUUAAACUGCUUUUUAGCAAGUGCUUGAGUUUUUGGUAUCUACAUAUAAGAUUAUCUAAGAUAUCAAUUUAUUCAUGAGAGCAGGUUGAUGACAAGUACCGAUACAUGUGUGAAAAAAAAAAAGAUAACAUGGUCCAUGGAGUUGGUUCUUUGCAAUCUCUCUUUUAUAAGCCGGAGAUUCCUUGCAGUCCAUCCUUUGCUGAUGCAGAAAAUCAGAAGUUGCACGAAGAACUAAAUGUGAUGAAGGAUAAGAUGAAAGCAAUGGAGAAUCAAAUAGCUAUGGUUGUGUUAGUACUAGCUAGUUUUCAAGCCUCGUUAGUAAUUGAUGGCUCCUUUUAGAUAUAAUACUUGAACACUAUUGUAUCGGGUAACUCUUAUCUCAUUUUGAAGAUCGUAAAGAAACGUUUAUUAUGUAAAAAGAGUACACUUUUGUUAUUUCUUUAUUUGCAUUUUUAUAGACAUAAAAAUGAACAAUUCUAGAAAAUGAAAAAUUUGCACUGUAUUUGAGCAUGCAUACCAACAGAAUAUGUUUAUAUCUACUAACGGAAAUUUAACAACCGAAAGAGUCUUUUAGUUCUUUGUUGUUAAAUUUAACAAUUUUGACUAUACUUAACAUCAGAUUUUCCGUUGGGAAUAUGUUGCUAGAAUUGCCAACCGAAUAUUCUGUUGGCGGGAUGGUGUUUCUUUUGUUAUUUUGCAAAAUAGAGGUCUGUUACGAGAUUGUUACUACUCGGUUGCUAACUUAGCAACGGACACCUAAUUCGGUUGGCGAGGUGCUUCCCAACGACGUUUACUCUAACGGUCCAGUUCAGUGGGCAUUCCGUUAGGAAUCUCUUUUACCAACGGAUUUUCUUGAUUUGCCAACAUAAUAUUUCGUUGGGAAUAAUGAAAUUUCUUGUAGUGUUCUAACUUGAAAGUUAUGCAAAUUACGUUAAUAAUAUCAUCAAUUUUGAGUCUCUUGGUCUUCGGUCUUCUAUUGCAGCAUAUCAUACACUUCUCAAGUGAUUGAAAAUGAACUCUCUCCAAAAGGCAAGGGGUCUGUCGAAGUAGACCUGGAAUUGAUUUUACUUGAAGAAACAAUAAUAGUUCACCUUUUAAAGUUUUGGUCUUUGUCUUUUGUCUCUCAAAGUCUUGAUCUUUGUCGUUUACAUCUCAUACAAUUUGCUAUCGUAUUGAACACUUCACACAAUUUCAUACUAUCGUAUUGAACACUUCACACUUCACACAAUUCCAUAAUAUUGAAGAUUUUUGGCUUGAAAUAUUCUAGAGAAUAAGAUUGUACAUAAAAUCCAACAAUUUAUUUCCUUUUCUACAAUAUUACAACUCAUAUAUUUGUUGCCAAUGACUCAUUCAAUUCGCAUCAAUUACUAUCAUCUUCACUUUAUCAAAGAGUCUUGCUCUUUGUCCUCUACAUGCUUUUAUCACGGUCCCCAUGUUAGUGUGAUUUGAAAAUACUUGUGUUACAGUCCACAUAUUGAUAAAUAGACAAAUUAUAAUAUUUAGUUCAUUAAUGAAUAGAUAAGACGUUCAUGUGUAUGUAUUUGAAAAAUAAAAUAUUAUGAAGCUAAAUGAAUAAACACUUCUGAAGAGUAAAACGCGUUUCUGGUCCAUUUUGUAGCUUGAAGAAAUGAAGCAGAAGUCAAGAUUUUCUUGAAGAAACGAAAUUUUAUAAAAGUUAAAAACAAUUCGAUAAUUAUUGUCUUUUCAAAAAACGGGGCACGCAACACUCUUUUAUAUCAUCUUUCAAUUCUUAGAGUCUUCCUUCUGCUACUCCAAAAGUGGUUCUAUUAUAGGUCACAUAUUAAUAGAUCGAUACAAAUUUAUUAAAAAGAUCCUUAUUUUCAACGAUCAAUAUCAGUUUGACUAUAAAUUUAUCUGAAAUGACCCUUGUUAAUGGACUCUAGCUUAUAGGGUCAAACUUGGCUAUACAUGCCUCGGAGAAAAUUCAUCAGUUCGUAGAAGAGACCUUUCUGCAUCAACUCUAUGAAAAAUGCAGCACUUAUCAUCUAAAUAAAAAUUAGUAAGACUAUCUUAGAUUCUCUGAAGUGUUUAUAUUGCAGCCGCUUGUAUUGAAUACACACAUAAAUAACCACACAUAAUCAGGAAGGUUCGAAAUUUUUUGGUUUAACCAUAUCACCAACAUGAAGAAAAGACUUUCAAGCGUCAUAAUAGCUAAGAGCAUCUCCAACGGCAUUGGCUAUAAUCGUUGGCUAAAUUAGACAUGUAAGACAUUAUGUAAAAUUUGCUGAACCUGUAAGACAUUUUGCUUCAAUGGUAUUGGCUAUAUUAAUUAGUUGGCUAUAAUUUAAAAAUAGUAUGUUAUUAAUAUUUUAAAUUGUUAAAAUAGAAUAUAUCAGUUCAAUAUGGUAAUAAAUGAUUUACAAUCUUCCUACAGAUUUUCUUACAAACCUGUAGAGGUUCAACAAAUUUAGUCAUCCAUAGGAGGUUGGCUAAAUUUAUAGACAACAGCUGAGCAUGGUUGGAGGUGAGUUUUUGGAGCUGUUACCUAAAUUUUUUUAUUUUAAGUAUGUUAACUCACAUUUUAGCCAAGGGUUUUAGAUGGUUGGAGAUGCUUUGAGAGUUUUUUAUAUUCAGGAUAGCCCCGGUCUAGAUUAUUAUAAAAAACUUGUUUAUAUGGAGACAUAAUAAAGGUCCCAGAAUUUUUUACUCUUCAAGAUUUCCGUUUCUAGCCAAAUUUUUUGACCAUAAAUAAUAUAUUGGUUUUACCUGAAAACAAAAUUUAAAGAAAAUUCAAACUUUUUUAUUAGAGUACUUCUUUUCUUUUAUUAUUACUUCUUUUCUUUUAUUUUGAAAUUGCAAAACAGCUCAAAGUAGUUCUAAAAGAAUCAUUCUCCCCGCUAGGAUCAGUUACAAUUAAGAUUGACAAGAUGUUUUAGCUGCGAGUUCUUCAAAUUAUUGCUCGUAAGGUCCAUGACAGCUUAGAUAGUCACCAAAGCUUUGGCCUGUGGAUUAAGUUGAUGAAAUCUAGUGCAUUAAAAUCAAUGACAGCACUAUUUUAUGGGAUUGAUGCUCGCUCUUAAUAUUAUGCGUUUUUCUAAUGUGUGUGCCCAAAGACACACAAUAAACACUAAAUUUGAUAAAAAAAAUCGUAAUAUUAGUCAUUCCGCUCAUAAAUUUCAACCAGAGAAGAAAGAGCAUCGUGACUGUCAUUGUAUCCUUAAAAUUUGUUCGAUUAGGUUUUUUACAUAGUUUGCGCGUGGUCAUCAGGGUAGGCCUUCAUUAUAUUAAGCCAAUCUAGCUAGUAAUUCCAUAUUAAACAAGUUUAAAAUUUUCAAAUUUUGAUCUUAAUAAAUUUGUAAAAAUAGUAAACUUUUUCUUAUUUAUGAUAUUCACAAAUCUCUUACUUUUUUAUUACUGUAUUCAACUAAAUAUUUUUUAUAAACACUCAUAAAUGCAUCACAUCAGUUAUGAAAUUUAAAACAAAUAGUUUAUAGCCCGUGUAAGGCACGGGAGUUUUUUAAUUAUUUAUAAAUUUCUUAAAUAUAUUUUAAAUGGUGUGAAAAAAUUUAAUUUAUAAAUAAUAAAUUAAAAUUUUCAAUAAAAUAAAAUUCGAAAUUAUAAUUUGUUUGUAAGUUAGAACUGUGGUAAAUACAUCAUCAAGCCCAUUAAUGGUUUCAAAUAAACUAUUGUAAUGAAGCCAUUCUUUUUCUCGUAUGUACCGUGGCAAAGAAUUAAAUUCUGUUUAUCAAAUUUUAAUAUAUUUUGAGUGGAAUACGUUAUUGCCAACUCUUAUUAGAUUAUAUUUAUAAAUGUAUUUUAUAUUAGAAUUAUUAUAGUGUGAUUUAAAUAGUCCGCAAGGGUUAGUUUAGCUGGUUAAAAAGAGGACAUGUAUCCUCUUGGUCACAGGUUCGACUCUCAAAGGGUGGAUUAACGCUAUUGCGUGAUCCACUCCCAAAGGGUGGAUUAACCCUCCAAAGGGUAGCUGUUGCGGGUUCCUAGAUUACAAAAAAAUAAAAAAAUAUAUAAUGUGAUUUAAAUAUUUUUCAAAAAAUUUAUAUGGUUCCAAAUUAAAAUUGAUAAACAUAAUUUGUUGUGAUUUAAAUAUUUUUCAAAAAAUUUAUAUGGUUUCAAAUUAAAAUUGAUAAACAUAAUUUGUUUUUGAAUUAAGAAAAGGAAUCAUAAACAUGCAAUAAGAAGGUAGAAUCUAUUUUGGAUUAAGAAAAAGUUUUUGUAUUUGCUAAUCACAUAAAUCCGGCUUAUUAAUUUUAAAAUAUAUUAUAAAAAAAUUGUGACGGUGAGAUUUAUAUGAUUAAAAAAUUUUUGUAUUUGCUAAUCACAUAAAUCCGGCUUAUUAAUUUUAAAAUAUAUUAUAAAAAAAUUGUGACGGUGAGAUUUAUAUGAUUCUACGAAUAAAACUGGUAGAAAAUAUUUAUUUGGGAUUAAAAAAAUCAUAUACACGUGAAAGACAUAAUUUGUUUUGGAUUCAGAAAAAAAAUUAUAAAUAUGCAAGGUGAUAUCAGUUGCCUUGUAGAACAGAAGUUGAUUUUCGAAUCUAACGGUGCUUAUUUGUUCAAUAUAAGAUGCAACGGAUGAUAAACUUUUGGACCAGAGAACCAUGCGACCAAAUUAUCUCCCUUACGCUUAUUAUAUAUAAGUAUAUAAUAUGUCCAAUUUCUUUGAGAAAGAUGGUUGUAUAAUUUUUAGUUUAAAAUUUUAAUUAUUUUUAUUUUUAAUAUAAUUUACAACUAAAAAGUUUUAUUAUAUUUUGACUGCUUUGUAAUACAAUUAAAUAUAUCUUAAAUACACUUUUUCCUAUAUAUAUACGCUAACCUCGAGAGAUGUUGAAGAUCGUCCGAAACAAAAUUUGAAAGGGAAAAUGAAAAUGAGGAAUUGCAACCUCUGUUUUUUCACCAUCAGUAUGAUGCUCAUCUUCUUGAAGUUGCAGCACCACCUGGUGGCUUCUUCAUUAAGCCCCCACUUGCAGAAACUUGCCUUGUUUCACCUUAAGCAAAGCUUCACAAUCACUCCUCCUCGCUUCCCUUGCUCCUAUUAUUCCUACGAAGAUAAUGAGGGGUAUGAAAUUCCUUCUCGGCCAAAGACAAUGAGUUGGAGCAUGAGUACUGAUCACUGCACAUGGGAUGGAGUUAGCUGCGACAACAAGACAGGGGAUGUUAUCGGACUGGAUUUAAGUUGCAGUCAGCUGGAAGGAGCCAUUCUUCCUAACAGCACUCUCUUCCAACUCUCUCAUCUCCGCUUCCUCAAUCUUUCUCAUAACAACUUUUCCCUCUCCAGUCAGUUCCCUCCGGAAUUUGGUUUCUUUGCAAAAGGUCUGACGCAUCUCAACCUCUCUAAUAGUUAUUUAUCAGGGAGAGUUCCCUCUGGAAUCUCUCAUUUGUAUAAACUAGUCUCACUUGAUCUCAGUGACAAUGAUGGGACUAAACUUGAAGAAGAAGUAUUUAAAUCAAUGUUGCAGAAUUUAACGCAUCUCGGAGUGCUUAAUCUUAAUAACGUUAAUAUCUCCUCUAUUUUUCCCGUGAAUAUCUCUACUUCUUUAAGAGUUCUUCAAUUGUUGUAUACUGGUAUACACGGAGUAGUACCCCAAGAGGUUUUCCACCUUCCCAACUUGGAAUUACUUGAUUUAUUAUAUAAUUACGACCUGAGAGCUACAUUACCCAAAGUUAAGUGGGGAAGUAAAGCUACCCUCCAACACCUUCAUCUUUCAGAAAUCAACAUAGAUGGAGGUAUACCUGACUCAAUAGACUUUUUAAAGGACUCAUUAGUCAGUUUGUAUCUGGGCGGCUGUAAUUUGUCUGGGCCUAUACCAAGAUCCAUUGGGCACCUCGUUCAACUUACUCAGUUGGGCCUCCAUGAUAAUAAUCUCAAUGGCCCAAUUUUAACUUUUUUUACCAACCUUACAGACUUAAGAUAUAUCUACCUUGAAGGUAACAAUUUUACGGGUCCGUUUCCCUCUUUUCUUGCCCACUCCAGUAAACUAGUUGUGUUGCAUAUUGAGAGUAAUAGCUUUACUGGAUCCCUACCUCGUUCGUUGUUUCACCAUCCAUCCUUAGAGUACUUGUUUCUGGAACUUAAUGCAUUCACGGGUCCACUACAUGAAUUUGAUUCUUCUCGGUCCCGGCUGCAAUAUUUUUCUUGUUCCAGCAAUUUACUCAAUGGAUCCAUUCCACAUUCAUUUUCUCAACUUGUCAAUCGCACUGACCUAGAUUUUUCUUCAAACAAUUUCACCGGGGUUUUGGAUUUGGAAAUGUUUUCAGGUCUCGAAUUUCUAGAACGUCUUGAUCUUUCUGAUAACAGUCUUUCAGUGACAAGUACAAUCAGUGGCACCCUCCCUCCUACGCUUAUAUACUUGGGCUUGUCUUCUUGCAACAUGAAAGAGUUUCCUCGCUUUUGAACAGAUGCAAACAUCUUCCUGGAUUCUAUAGACCUGUCAAACAAUAAAAUUGACGGGGAAAUUCCACACUGGAUUGGGUCGCUGGGGGUGUCCUAUCUGAAUCUUUCUCACAACAAACUAAUAGGCGGUCUUGAGCAACUGCCUUGGGGUUAUAUUAAUUAUCUUGAUCUCCAAGACAAUAAGCUGAAUGGAUCGUUGCCCACCUUGAUGUGUAAUUCCAGCUCUCUUGAGAUUCUAAAUCUCUCUCACAACAAUUUGAGUGGUGUACUCCCCAUUUGUCAUACAAAUUUGACUCAGCUUUCGGUGUUGGAUCUGCGGAGGAAUAAAAUUCAAGGAAACAUUCCAGCAACCUUGUCAAAUUUCCAUAAUCUGGAAACCAUUAAUAUGAAUGGAAACCAAUUACAAGGAAGCAUUCCUUCUUCAUUUGCUGAAUUUGAUUCUUUAGCCGUUCUUGAUCUUGGAAAUAAUCAGAUAAAUGAUACAUUCCCCCGGUGUUUGGAAGCUCUUCCAAAUCUCCAAGUUCUUGUUCUCAAAUCUAACAAGUUUUGUGGUCUUAUAAACACGAGUUCUAAGAUUGUACACCCAUUUCCUAGCUUGAGAAUCAUUGAUCUGUCGGACAAUGAGUUUUCAGGUCCACUGCCAGCAAAAUACUUCAGAAACUUCAAGGCUAUAAUGAAUAGUGAUGUAAGCAAAAUAGAUCGUAGUUAUAUGAAUCAUAGUUUCUAUUACAGUGAUUCCACGGCUCUGGUGAUUAAAGGAGUAGUCAUAGAGUUGGUAAAGAUAUUAACUAUUUUUACAACCAUGGAUGUGUCAAGGAACCAGUUUGAAGGGGAGAUUGUAGAAUCAAUUGGAAAUCUGGUGUCACUUAGAUAUCUCAAUUUAUCACAUAAUCAUCUCAGAGGCCACAUACCACGGUCGAUUGGAAAAUUGACUGUGCUGGAGUCACUAGACCUCUCAUCCAAUGAACUUGAAGGAGAAAUUCCUCCGCAACUCACUGGUUUAUAUUCACUUGCAGUUCUAAAUCUUUCUUGCAACCAACUUAGAGGCCGUAUACCAGAAGGGUCACAAUUCAAUACGUUUGAAAUCUACAGCUACGCCGGGAACUUUGAAUUGUGUGGAAAACCCUUGUCAAAAAAGUGUGAAAAUUAUGUGAGGGUACACAAAGAAGACGAAGAAGAUGAGGAUGAAUAUUACUUUUUCAGUGGUUUUACAUGGGAAGCGGUGGUGAUUGGAUAUGGGUUUGGAGUGGUGCCUGCAUUUAUCGCCGGGUACUUGAUGUUGCUGGCACGGAAACCAAAAUGGUUUGCUGGAAUCAUUGGCAGGGAAUUGGGCCUCAAGAUCAGGAGGAUGGAGAUUAGAAUGCGAUAACUACAGGUUUGGUGUAAUCUGUAUCCCAUUCCCAGGUCUUGAAAAUUCUGUAAUAAUAUAGUAAUAUCUGCUCUCAUAUAAUUCUAUAUUUGCAGAUUCAGAUGGGACAAGCAGGAUUCAGAUGCAUUGCAUUGGAUUCAGAUGGGACAAGCAGGAUACAAGUUAUGUAGUAUUGUUUUGUUCCAGCUCUUAUCUGAUCUGCAAUCAAGUUAAUGAACCACUACCUCAGUUGUUAAGCAUCUUUCAGCAUUUUAAUUUUACAACUCACAAUAAAAGAUUACAUGUGUAUUAAUCUGAUCAUCAUUGGUUUAGAUCAAUAUAGAAGUUCGGCUUUGUUUAUUUCUAUCCCGGGCUCCUCAUUUUUAGAACAUAUUUGUUGAUACUUUUUAUGGAACGGUUAAGAAUAUUCCAUAGAUUUUUAUAUUCAGUGCUAGAUGAUUUUAUGUCCUGUUUUCAUUCCAAUUUCCGUUCAUGAACUAAUUAAAAAUCUGAAAGUGGGUCAUAUCUGGCAGUGAUGCCCACCUUUCUGGACCUGAAUUUCAUGACCACACAAACUCCAAUUCUGCCCAAAAAUUGCAGCUGUUUCGUAAAAUAUUUUUACGUGCUCUUUUGUUUGGACUUGUUUGCUGGACCAUGCAUAUGUUUUGAUACAAACAUCUUCGUGUAUGUUAACACUCUUGUGUCAGUUUCUGGACUCAUUGUUAGUAGCCCAUUCUUUACGGCAGACAUUGAAUUGGAUUUACUUGAAGAAAUGAAGGUUUAAGAAAGUUGAGAACAAUUUGUUGAUAAUUUCCUUCCCUAGAAACUGCACUCCAGCAUCAAAGUACCUUUCAAAGACUCCAGACAUCAUCUCUUGAUUAUCGAAGACUUGGUCUUGCAUAUACUGAUAUACAGUGAAUAUAGAUUUCUUUCAUUUCCUUGAAAUUGCAUUUUUGGAAGUAGCUCUCCAGACUCAUUCCCGUCACUUCUUAAAGUCUUAUUCCUCCUCAAUACUACAUACACGUAAUAUCACACCACUUUGCUCAUGCUCAGAUGGGUUUUUCUUACAAACCACAUAUGUUCACUUCUCAGAGUCUUAGUCCUCGUCAAUGUAUAGAGAUAAUAUCUCACCAUUUGCUAGUGCUACAAAUGGGCUUCUCCUACAACCACACAUAAUCGGAGAAAAGUCUGUCAAGUGUCAAGUGGACUUGAAAGACCCUUGUGCAUGGAUUAUUGUAUGUCAUGAAUGCCUUCUGAUAUCCCUGAAAGUGCAAGCAAGUUAUAAAAGUAGCUGGGCAGACUCUUUCUCAUCAAUACAUUCACAUUUAAAGCGGGCGUUGAUAUGCCUCCCUAAUUUUCUAAUGCCCUAGACGGAAUUCUAUUACAAUCCACAUAUGAUGGGUAGCGAUCAUCAAUUCAAAGAAGAGACUAUCAGCAGCUUGCAGGAAAUGUCCCCUCUGCAUGGAUUAUCGAAGAAAGGAACUUAUACCUAUAAAGAUGUAGAAAACCAAUGGUAAGCAUAACUGCAUAUAAGAUACAAAACUAAAUUUAAUACAAGACUCGUUCUGAGCAUUGGAAAAUAUAAUUCAUCCUGGUCUUCGUCUUCUACUUCUCCAAAUAUGCUUUUAUUGCAGCCAAUGUAUUAGUGAAAAGAAUUAAAUUUAAAUUAAUUGUAGACCGCAAAUAUAAGAUUAGGAGAGUUUCUACAACCCACAAAUUAGUAGACAGACUAAUAUGGUUAGUUGAGACCAUCAAUCUGGAGAAACUGUUUCUACAAUGACCCAUAUGUAUGAAUUAUUGAAGAAAGAAACUUAUACCUACAAUGUAAAGGAAAUGGUCACGAGUAUAUUGCAUUUUUAAUCCAAAUUGUAUAUGAUUCUCUCUGUGCUACUGAUAGUUAAUAAUAAAUCUACAACGGAACUUGCAGUUAAUCAAGGUAUUUAAGUCUACCUUUCUACAUUGUUGAAUAGUUUGAAUUAAAUAAUUGUAAUAAAUUUUUUGCUGGAUGCUGUGUGAGUUUACCAGAGCUUAUCACGGUGAGAAGUUCACUAAAGCUCUUGGAAUUAGUAAAUAAAAACUCAGGGCAGUGAAUUAGAAGUCUGAGUACAAGGCAAUGAGCAGGAAACAACAUAGGGAGUUUACAACUAGAAGUAUCUAUUCUCCCCCAGUCUUUUUGUGAACAUCAAGAGGCCAUUCAUAUUGCUCACAAACCAGUUAAAAGUGGCAGGACUACACAUAAUGAAUCACACAGUCACUUUAUGUGAGAAAAGAAAAUUGUCAGGACUGCAAUGCAUUUCUAGCCCAUUUUGUACAGCAGCUCAAACGUUUAAAAAACUUCAUUAAUUAUUUUCUUUUAUUGAAACCACACUCAUCCAUCAAAGUAGCUCUCAAAGUCUAAUUUCCAUCACCUUCUGAUUCUCAAAGUCUUCUUCUUCGUCUUAUAUUGCACGCCACAUAUUAGUAGACAUACUACAUCAACUCUGUAGAAAGAAACAAUCUAUAGUAGUUGAUGUACAAUGUUAUUAUGUAAAUGUAUAAUAUCAAAAUUAGGAAUAGAAAUCACGCCCUAAUAAUUAACCCUCUGCAGGGGUUAUUAAAGAAAGCAGCUUAUAACUUUAGUUGCUGAACAUUUGUGUGGGCCAAAUUCAAUUUUACACAUCAUUACUAGAUUUACACAUGGUAUUAGACAUCAGUACUAGUAUAAGAUGUUAAUCAAGUUUUGGAAUUUCUUUUAUUUCAGAAAACAAGUUUUUAACUCUCUUUUUUUUUUGUGGUAUUAAUUAUUUAUAUCACGCAUUUGAGCUUUAAAAUUAGCUCUAAAUAAAAGUUGAUUUUCGCUCAAAGAAACAAUGAUGUAUAAGAAGAUUUUCAGAACUGAAUUAUUUCUUUCCAUUUUUACAGUUCCAUUCAAGAACCGAAAGCAGCUCACAAAGACUCACUACAUCAUCUUUCAAUUCUCAUAGUGUUGGUCUUUGUCUUCUGCUGCUCAAAAAUUCUAUUACAGCCCACAUAUCAGUAUCAUAUACCUAAUUAUAAAUAGUAUUUAACACUUAACACCAUUAAAGAUUUGUCUCAGAGACUUACUUCCAUCACCUUAUGGUUCUCAAACUCUUCGUCUUCUAAUGCUCCAAAAGUUCUAUUAGUGCAGGCCACAUAUUGGUAAACAGACUACAAUUCAUCCAAAAUGACCCUCUUAUUGGACACUUUGAACACCUCUGUCUGUAUAUGCAUUGGAGAAGAAUUAUCAGCUCGUUAAAAUAACCUCUUCGCAUCAACUCUAUGGAAAGAAGCAAUUCAUACCUAAAGUACAAUGUUUGGAUAAAAUUAGGGAUAGCAACCGCACGCUAAUUUUUUAGUUGAAGCAGGCUACCUUAGUGUAAUUAACUGAACAUCCCCGUAAUUUCUUGACAGGCCACAAUUAAGGAAGUUUACAGAAUUACAUUCCAGAAGUAGCUCCCUGAGACAGAUUCGCAUCAUCUUUCAAUCUUCAAAGUUCUUUAUACUUAUAUUAUAUUUCAUGUUUUAUUGUAAUGAACAUAGCAGUUUCCUGUUCAGUAAUAUUCCAGGCUCAGGUUCUUCAUUCCAAGUCUCUGUUACAUGUUUGCUACUAAAACGUAUUAAACAGUUAUUAGUUUAUGACUGUAUUCCAUCUUGAAAGGAGAUCUCAAAGACUCAUUCCCAUAAUCUUCAGAAUCUCAAGUCUUGAUGAACUUGGCCUUCAUCAUAUUUGUACUCUUGUAAUUCCAUAUUAAUCAAGUUUAAAUAUUAAAAUUUUUAAUUUUAGUAAAUUUGUAAAAAUAGUAAAAUUUGUCUUAUUUAUAAUAUUUAUAAAUCUCUUACUUUCCUGUUACUGUAUUCAACUUAAUAAUUUUUACAAACACUGUGCAUCACAUAAGUUAUGUAAAUUUAGAACAAAUUAUGUCCAAUUUAUUUAAGAGAGAUUGUUAUAUUGUUUUUACUUUAAAAUUAAUGGUAUCUUUUAUUUUUAAUAUAAUUUACAGCUAAAAAUAUUUGAUAUAUUUUCACACUGCUUCUUAUUUUUGUAAUAUGACUAAACAUAUCUUAAAUACACUUUUUUCCUAUAUAUAUGCUAGCCUCUCGAGAUGUUGAAUAGAUCAUCCCAAACAAAAAAAUUUAAGGGAAAUAGAAAAUGAGGAAUUCCAUCCUCUGUUUUUCCACCAUCAGUUUGUUGCUCAUCUUCCUGCAGUUGCAGCACAACCUAGUGGCUUCUUCAUUAAGUCCCCACUUGCAGAAACUUGCCUUGUUCCACUUUAACCAAACCUUAACAAUCAGUACUACUAGCUGGGAUUGCGAGUACUAUUCCUACGAUGGAUAUUACGAAAUUCCUUCACGGGCAAAGACAAAGAAUUGGAGCAUGAGUUCCGAUCACUGCACAUGGGAGGGAGUUAGCUGCGACGACAAGACAGGGGACGUUAUCGGACUGGAUUUAAGUUGCAGUCAGCUGGAAGGAGCCAUUCUUUCUAACAGCACCCUCUUCCAGCUCUCUCAACUCCGCUUCCUCAAUCUUUCUCACAACGGCUUUUACAAUCAGUUCCCUCAGGAAUUUGGUUUCUUUGCAAAAGGUUUGACGCAUCUCAAUCUCUCUCGUACUGGAUUAUCAGGGAGAGUUCCCUCUGGAAUCUCUCAUUUGUAUAAACUGGUCUCACUUGAUCUCGGUCGCAACUAUAGGGCUUGGGCUAAACUUGAAGAAGAAGUGUUUAAAUCACUGUUGCAGAAUUUAACUCAUCUUGAAGUGCUUAAUCUUGAAGGGGUUAGCAUCUCCUCUGUUUUGCCCCUGAAUAUCUCUACUUCUUUAAGAUUUCUUGCUCUUGCGGGAACUGAAAUACACGGAGUAGUACCUCAAGAGGUUUUCCACCUUCCCAACUUGGAAUUUCUUCGUUUAUCAUAUAAUGACCACCUGAGAGUAACAUUACCCAAAGUUAAGUGGGGAAGUAGUGCUACUCUCCAACACCUUCAACUUUCAGGCGUCAACAUAGAUGGAGGUAUGCCUGACUCAAUAGGCUUUUUGGAGUCAUUAGUCAGUUUACAUCUGAUCCAGUGUAAUUUGUCUGGGCCGAUACCAAAAUUCAUUGGGCAACUCGUUCAACUUACUCACUUGGGCCUGGCUGCUAAUAAUCUCAGUGGCCCAAUUCUAACUUUUUUAACACGCCUUGCAGACUUCAGAUCUAUCUUCCCUUGAGCAUAACAAUUUUACUGGUCCGUUUCCCUCUUUUCUUGCCCACUCCAGUAAACUAGUUGAGUUGUAUCUUCAUAAUAAUAGCUUUACUGGAUCCCUACCUCGUUCGUUGUUUCACCAUCCAUCCUUAGAGAUCUUGAAUCUGGCAUAUAAUGCAUUCACGGGUCCACUACAUGAAUUUCAUUCUUCUUUGUCACGAUUGCGAUCUUUUUAUUGUUCCAGCAAUUUACUCAAUGGAUCCAUUCCACAUUCAUUUUCUCAACUUGUGAAUCUCACUGAACUAGAUCUUUCAUCAAACAAUUUCACCGGGGUUUUGGAUUUGGAAAUGUUUUCAGGCCUCAAAUCUCUAGGAAUUCUUCAUCUUUCUUAUAAUAGUCUUUCAGUGAGAACUACAACUAUGGCCACUCUCCCUCCUACGCUUAACGACUUGGCCUUGUCAUCUUGCAACAUGAAAGAGUUUCCUCACUUUUCAAGAGAUGCAAACAUCUUCCUCGAUUUUGUAGACCUAUCAAACAACAAAAUUGAAGGGGAAAUUCCACACUGGAUUGGGUCGGUGGGGAGGUACCCUUUCUAUCCAAUCCAUUAUCUGAAUCUUUCUCACAACGGACUAAUAUGCGGUCUUGAGCAACUGCCUUGGAGUCAUGUUGAAUUUCUUGAUCUCCAAUACAAUAAGCUGAAUGGAUCAUUGCCCACCUUGAUGUGUAAUUCCAGCUCUCUCCGGGUUCUAAAUCUCUCUCACAACAAGUUGAGUGGUGUACUCCCCAUUUGCCAUACAAAUUUGACUUCGCUUCGCGUGUUGGAUCUGCGGAGGAAUAAAAUUCAAGGAAACAUUCCAGCAACCUUGUCAAAUUUCCGUAACCUGGAAACUGUUAAUUUGAAUGGAAACCGAUUAGAAGGAAGCAUUCCUUCUUCUUUUGCUGGAUUUGAUUCUUUAGCCGUUCUUGAUCUUGGAAAUAAUCAGAUAAAUGAUACAUUCCCC
rnacentral:lncRNA from 1 species